AGUGGUACGAGCACCAAGGGUUACGAGGACCAAGAGGUACCAAAGGCCGAAGGGGUGCGUGUACCAAGCGGUGCCUGUUGAGGCAGGUCGUGUCCGUUCCUUAGGGAUCAGACCAUGUCUUGUCCGUUGGGGCAAGUACACGGUCCGUCUAAGCCAGGGUAAGAGUCGCAAGGUCUGAUCGGCCAUUGGCCUAACCGGAUUGGGCGUGAGGCUUACUCGGCCGUUGGAUCCAGGGCCAAGGCCGGAUCAGGUAAGGAAGUCCGUUGGGCCAUUGAGCCGGACUUCAUCUAGGCCGGUUAAAAGGGGGUCCUCUCUGUCGAUUUCAUUCAUCCAAUCCAGAGUAAAAUACUCAGAGAAAUCAUAGAGAGAGAGUUUCCGGCCAAAGCAAGGCCAAUUGUGUGGUGGUUAGGUUUCCGGCGAUCUGAUCGUUUGUGAAGCAACCUCCGAUCAAGUAUGGGAGACCGAGAGCAGGAGAAGAGCNNNNNNNNNNNNNNNNNNNNNNNNNNNNNNNNNNNNNNNNNNNNNNNNNNNNNNNNNNNNNNNNNNNNNNNNNNNNNNNNNNNNNNNNNNNNNNNNNNNNNNNNNNNNNNNNNNNNNNNNNNNNNNNNNNNNNNNNNNNNNNNNNNNNNNNNNNNNNNNNNNNNNNNNNNNNNNNNNNNNNNNNNNNNNNNNNNNNNNNNNNNNNNNNNNNNNNNNNNNNNNNNNNNNNNNNNNNNNNNNNNNNNNNNNNNNNNNNNNNNNNNNNNNNNNNNNNNNNNNNNNNNNNNNNNNNNNNNNNNNNNNNNNNNNNNNNNNNNNNNNNNNNNNNNNNNNNNNNNNNNNNNNNNNNNNNNNNNNNNNNNNNNNNNNNNNNNNNNNNNNNNNNNNNNNNNNNNNNNNNNNNNNNNNNNNNNNNNNNNNNNNNNNNNNNNNNNNNNNNNNNNNNNNNNNNNNNNNNNNNNNNNNNNNNNNNNNNNNNNNNNNNNNNNNNNNNNNNNNNNNNNNNNNNNNNNNNNNNNNNNNNNNNNNUGUCCGUCAGCACACACAGGACGUCCGUGUGUGUACGUCAGCACACACAGGACGUCCGUGUGUGUCAGUCAGCACACACAGGACGUCUGUGGCUGUCUGUUUGUGUCCGUGUGUGUCCGUCACCACACACAGGACGUCCGUGUGUAUACAUUUCAGCACGCUGGUCCUUGGACUCAGCACGCUGGCCCUUCCUGUGGACUGUUCGGGUCAUUUUGGCCCACGUGAGCUGUCUGUUCAGUGCACACAGGACGUCCGUGGGUGUCCGCCAUAACACACAGGAUUUAUGUGGCUGUCCGUCAGCACACACGGGACGUCCGUGGCUGUCUGUGUGUGUCUGUGUGUGUCCGUCAGCACACACAAAACGUCUGUGGCUGUCUAUGUGUGUCCGUAUGUGUCCGUCAGCACACACAGGACGUCCGUAGCUGUCCAUCAGUACACAUAUCAGCACGUUGGUCCUUGGACUCAGCACGCUGGCCCUUCCCGUGGACUGUUUGGGUGAUUUUGGACCACGUGGGCUGUCUGUUCAGUACACACAGGACGUCCGUGGGUGUCCGCCAGCACACACAGGAUGUACGUGGCUGUCCGUGGCUAUCAGUCAACACACACAUGACGUCUGUAGCUGUCCGUGUGUGUCCGUGUGUGUCCCUGUGUGUCAGUCAGCAUACACAGGAUGUCUGUGGUUGUCCAUCAGUACACAUAUCAGCACGCUGGUCCUUGGACUCAGCAUGCUGGCCCUUCCUGUGGACUGUUCGGGUGAUUUUGGCCCACGUGGGCUGUAUGUUCAGUACACAUAGGACGUCCGUGGGUGUCCGUCAGCACACACAUGACAUCUAUUUGUGUCCGUCAGCACACACAGGACGUCCGUGGCUGUCCGUGUGUGUCCAUCAGCACACACAGGACCGUUGUGGCAGAUGAGUGGAGGAGUAGGCUAGUCCGAGACUUUCAAUCAACUCUUUGUCCAGAGGAUUACAGACGAGACAUUGCGGUUCACUUACUGGAAGGGGACGCGCAUAAUUGGUGGCUUGCAGUGGACAAUCGCAUCAACGGAGGUCUCACAAGUUUUGCAGACUUUGAAAUUGAGUUCAACCGCAAAUACUUUCCUGCUGCGGCUUGGGAUCGUCUGGAAGCUAAGUUUCUAGAUCUGGUCCAAGGCUGCAGGACCGUACGGGAGUACGAAGAAGAGUUCAACCGACUCAGAAGGUUUGUUGGAAGAGAGCUGGAGGACGAAGUUUUCCAGGUCCGUAGGUUCAUCCGAGGCCUAAGGCCGGAGCUGAAGACCCACUGCUCGAUCCGCACUUUCAACACCGUCGAAGAACUGGUGGAGCAGGUGGCUUUGUUGGAGCCUAACUUGGCUGAGGAAGCUAAGCUUAAGGCUAAGCCACAGUCUGGCCCAUUGGGCAAGAAUAAUGAUAAAAAGAGAAAAUGGGACCAGGUGGACGGACGUAAGACCUCUGGUGGCCGACCUGCGUUUUCCAAAUGUGGACGGAACCAUCCUGGUGAGUGCUGGAAGGCCAAGGAGGCUUGUGUUCGUUGUGGCAGCAUGGACCAUGGGGUUCAGAACUGUCCUCGACCGAACCAGUCUGGUAGAAGCGGCCAGAUGACCUGUUUCCAUUGUGGCCAGCAAGGACAUUUCCAAUCGGAGUGUCCCAAGCUGCAAGGAAGUCAGGGGAAGGGCCGUGGAGAUUCAGGAAAGGCGUCCCAAGGCAAACCAACCACAACACCGCGGGUGUAUAAACUGUCACGAAAAGGCGGAGCUUCCGGAUCCUUUGAUUCGAUCUCUGGUAAUUUCUAAAUUUAUCAUUUUACAUUCAAGUAGUAAUGAUUGGUUUAGAACCUAGAAUGUGGUCUAGGGGAUUCUGAUGGGGGUCUCUGAUAGGAACCCUCAUGGUCGGUGGGGUAAAAACCCACGUGCUUUUCGACACAGGGGCUACACAUAGUUUUGUGAGUCUGGGACUGGUCGGAAAGGGUCUGUUCUGUCUGGAUGAUGGUGAAAAGAAGAGCAUGGAGAACAGCAUGGAGAACCCUGACACGGUUCAGAAGGUACGUGUUGGGCUAUGGCUCCAUCAGACCGAACGGACGGUCCUUGUGAUCGCACCGCGGCUCUGGACGGUUCAUUAGACCCGGCCGAUUCUCCUCUUCUUGUUUCUAUCAGGUCCAUUCUCUUCUUUCUGAUUAUGCACGAAGGGUUGUGUUGGUUCAGUCCAAGGGAAACGUUCCUAGACUUGGCCGGACAUAACCAAACAGCUAACCUAGACGCUGGUCGGUUAGACGGUCGGUUCGAAUCGCACUUGAAGAGAAAGUAGUGGUUUCAGCAGUUCGAUAGAUUCGGAUGCUGGAACAGGGUUGUCAGUCAUUCUUGGCUACAAUUACAACUACAGAGCCUGACAGUUCUGGUUUUCUGUUAGACCCACGCGAGGAUUCGUUGGUGUCCGAGUUCCAGGAUGUGUUUCAGUCGCUACAGGGUGUCCCCCCUGAUAGGUCCGAUCCCUUCCUGAUUGAACUGGAACUAGGGACAGCUCCGCUGUCCAAGAGUCUGUUUCGAAUGGCUCCGGCCGAGACGGUCGAGCUAAAGAAGCAAUUGGAAGAAUUGCUUGACAAGGGGUUCAUACGGCGAAGUAGCUCCCCUUGGGGUGCACCAGUCCUCUUUGUGAAAAAGAAGGAUGGUAGCAUGCGUCUGUGCAUCGACUAUCGAGGGUUGAACAGGGUAACUGUGAAGAACAAGUAUCCGUUGCCCAGGAUAGACGAGCUGUCGGAUCAGCUGAAAGGAGCUAAGUGGUUUUCAAAAAUCGAUUUGGCCUCGGGAUAUCAUCAGAUUCCUAUAGAGCCAAACGACAUUAGGAACACAGCAUUUAGGACUAGGUACGGCCAUUACGAAUUCGUAGUGAUGCCGUUCGGUCUGACCAAUGCACCUGCUGCAUUCAUGAAAAUGAUGAACAGCGUGUUCCGACACUUCUUGGAUGAAUCAGUGAUCAUCUUCAUUGAUGAUAUCCUGAUUUACUCCAUGGACGAGGAAUCUCAUCGGAAACAUUUGAGAGCCGUGCUGGAACGAUUACGAGAGCACAAACUCUUUGCUAAACUCAGCAAGUGCAGUUUUUGGCAAAAGAGUAUUAGGUUCCUCGGCCAUAUUGUCUCUGACCAGGGCGUCUCAGUGGAUCCAGAGAAGAUCAGGGCAAUCAAAUAUUGGCCGCGACCACGCAGUGCCACGGAAGUUAUAAGCUUCCUCGGGCUGGCAGGUUACUAUAAAAAGUUUGUGAAGGGAUUCGCAAGCUUGGCUCAGCCGAUGACACGGUUGACUGGGAAGGACAUUAAGUUCACAUGGUCUAACGAGUUUACGAGAUGUUUCUCCGCACUUAAGAAUAUGCUAACUAGCGCACCCGUCCUGGUUCUCCCGGAGGUAGACCAACCUUAUAUGGUCUACACGGAUGCGUCCAUCACUGGACUCGGUUGCGUGUUGACCCAACAUGGGAAGGUCAUUGCUUACGCGUCAAGGCAGCUGAAGAAACAUGAGAGAAACUACCCACCCAUGACCUGGAAAUGGCUGCGGUAGUGUUCGCCUUAAAGAUUUGGCGAUCAUAUUUAUAUGGGGCCAAAUUCCAGAUACUUAUGGACCAUAAAAGUCUGAAGUAUAUAUUCACCCAGCCUGAGUAGACCUUAAGGCAGAGGAGGUGGAUGGAGUUCGUGGCCAACUACGACCUAGACAUCACUUACUAUCCGGGCAAGGCCAACCUUGUGUCUGACGCCUUGAGCCGGAAACGAGAAGAUGUUGCGGCCGGUAGCGGAACGGACGAGCAGGAUGAGGCGGGACGUUUCGUCCGUUUAAAUGCUUUGAACGGGAUGGAUGGACCACGGGGUUUAGAGGCGGUGAAUAGAGCCGACCUGCUUCCCCGGAUCCGAGCGGCCCAAGAUCAGGACUAGAACCUGAAGACGGUUGCUCGGAACGACCUGACUGAGUAUCAAAUCCCCAAGGACGGUACGAUCUUAGUUCAUAGUCGGAUCAGCGUACCCAAUCAUAGGAGUUUGAAGGACGAGAUCCUUAGAGAAGCUCAUAAGUCUAGAUUCUCGAUCCAUCCUGGAGUGACCAAGAUGUAUCAUAAUCUCAGACAGUACUAUCAUUGGAUAUGAAUGAAGGUUGAUGUGGCCGAAUGGGUGGCUAAAUGUCCUACUUGCCAGCUCAUCAAGGCCGAACAACAAGUUCCGAGUGGACUGCUUCAGAGUCUACCUAUUCCGGAAUGGAAGUGGGAUCACAUCACGAUGGACUUCGUGACAGGUUUUCCCACGACCAGGAAUAGGAAUGAUGCUAUCUGGGUAAUAGUGGAUCGACUGACCAAGUCUGCCCACUUCCUGGCCAUCAAAAAGACUGAUGGAGUCGACCAGAUUGUGAGUAAGGACAUUGACGAGAUUGUGAGGCUACACGGAGUACCCUCAAGUAUAGUUUCGGAUAGAGAUUCGAGGUUCACAUCUCACUUCUGGCAAGCUUUUUAAAAAGCUUUAGGAAGAAGAGUGAACCUGAGUACGGCUUAUCAUCCCCAAACAGAUGGGCAGUCGGAAAGAACUAUACGGACGCUGGAGGACAUGCUUCGAGCAUGUGUUCUCGAUUGGGAUGAUUCCUGGGAACGGCAUUUGCCGUUAGUGGAGUUCGCCUACAAUAACAGCUUCCACUCAAGUAUAGGCAUGUCGCCAUACGAAGCUUUGUAUGGACGACCAUGCAGGACACCGUUAUGCUGGACCCAAGUGGGGGCGCGCAGCAUGAUAGGCCCCGAGAUCGUGGAGGAAACCACGGAGAAGACCAAGUCCGUGCGGGACAAGAUGAGGGCCGCAGAGGACAGACAAAAGCACUACGCUGACAAACGAAGGAAAGAACUGGAGUUUGCAGUGGGUGAUAUGGUCUAUCUCAAAAUGAUUACCUUUAAAGGUAGAGUGCAAAUUUCUGGUAGAAGGAAAUUGGAUCAAAGAUACCUAGGACCGUUCAGAGUCAUAGAACGAGUGGGCAGUGUGGCAUACAAGUUGGACUUACCAUCUGAGAUGGAAGCCUUUCAUAAUAUAUUCCAUAUCUCUCAACUCUGGAAGUGCUUGAUGGAUCAGGACUUCUUAAUACCAGAAAUACCUUCUGAUCUGGGUACGAACCUAACUUUGGAAACAAGGCCGGUCCGGAUCGUAGAUAGGAUGGAAAAAGCAAUGAGAAAGAAAACAAUCCAGAUGGUCAAGGUCAUUUGGGAUUGUAAUGGUCGAGAAGAGACCACUUAGGAGACGGAGGCCAGGAUGAAGGCCGAGUUUCCACAAUGGUUCAACCAGUUUGUGUUGGAUGACACACAUGACUCGGAUUCGAGGACGAAUCCAUUGCUAGUGGGGGAGACUUGUAACAUCCCGGAUCUUGAAUAGGAUCAUUGGGACGGCCAUGGUUUGAGGGAACGCACUAGCCAGUUUUAAGACAUCAAGGCAAGCAUUCCAUGGCCGGAUAAGAAGGUUAAGGACGUAAGGAAACUUAGACUUAACCUUACACAAGUCGAGAGUCAACUAGACCGAGCAAGACGGUAGCUGGACGAAUGGAGCGGGUAGCUCGAGCAGCUCAACGGAGCUAGGUUAAGCUCACUGCAGCUCGGACACUACAAGGUCACCUCCACUAUCUGGACUACUACCUCACUCAGCAGAGGCAGCUGGGGAUCAGCUCAUCUCAGCUGGACGGUCCGUUCGAGUUUCGGUCCGAUGGUCCGGGUCCGGGCCGAUGGCAGGCCAUGGGAGGUCCGGCCAUGAGGUCAUGGACUGUUGGGGCUUGGGACAAGGCCGUGGGCUAAGUCCAGAAGAGUUGGGUAAGGCUUUGGGCCUCUGUCCGACCCAAACCCAUGCGGUAUUGGCAAAGGGGCGCAUGCGGCCGAGAGGGUGUAACCCUUGGCCGAUUGUGCCCAUCUGCUGGCCAGUCAUGCCUGUUCGUGGGGCAAGACUUACCCCCUCGUUUUCUAUAAAUAUGGGGUCCUCUCUGUCGAUUUCAUUCAUCCAAUCCAGAGUAAAAUACUCAGAGAAAUCAUAGAGAGAGAGAAAGAAAGAGAGAGAGAGNNNNNNNNNNNNNNNNNNNNNNNNNNNNNNNNNNNNNNNNNNNNNNNNNNNNNNNNNNNNNNNNNNNNNNNNNNNNNNNNNNNNNNNNNNNNNNNNNNNNNNNNNNNNNNNNNNNNNNNNNNNNNNNNNNNNNNNNNNNNNNNNNNNNNNNNNNNNNNNNNNNNNNNNNNNNNNNNNNNNNNNNNNNNNNNNNNNNNNNNNNNNNNNNNNNNNNNNNNNNNNNNNNNNNNNNNNNNNNNNNNNNNNNNNNNNNNNNNNNNNNNNNNNNNNNNNNNNNNNNNNNNNNNNNNNNNNNNNNNNNNNNNNNNNNNNNNNNNNNNNNNNNNNNNNNNNNNNNNNNNNNNNNNNNNNNNNNNNNNNNNNGUGUUCUAGGAACCAAGCCAAGCAUUGUAGAAUCAAUCCGUUCUAUUCUCGGUUAUGAUUAAUGCUUAUCUGGUUGUGGUUUCAGGAACUAAGGAUGGUUCUGGUCAAGCCAAGGAGCCGUGAAGGCUCGGUCAGUGAGAGGCUGUGUAACGUGUGGGUAGAUGAUGCUAGGGACGAACUAGUGAUUGUCUAUGAAACUGUUAAGAAGUUGUGUAUUGGAUCUCAUGUUUCUAAGUAAUACAUUUGUUUAUACAUUAUAUUCCGCUGUGCUAUCUGUUCCAUUAUUUUAGAACCUCCGAUUCAAACAUGACUUAGUAAAUGAAAGGCUUAAAAUGAAUGAAACGACCAAAGAAAUUGAUUAAGUAGCAAACGGGUCUAGUCUUGUCGAGAGGCCAGAUUCGGGCGUUACAGUCCGUGGCUGUCCAUCAGUACACAUAUCAGCACGUUGGUCCUUGGACUCAGCACGCUGACCCUUCCCGUGGACUUUUUGGGUGAUUUUGGCCGUGAGUGUCCGCCAGCACACACAGGACGUCCCUGGCUGCCGUGUGUGUCCAUCAGUACACAUAUCAGCACGUUGGUCCUUGGACUCAGCAAGCUGGCCCUUCCUCUAAGACCCGAUCCUGGCUCCUAAGCCCAACUUGGACCCGCGGCCUUACUUAACUCCUAGUGUAAGUUUUGUCCAGUUUUAAAGUUCAAUAAUUCUUAAGUCCUGUUCAGUCAGAUGAGGUUCAAGCAACUUAUUCCUAAGACAAAACAGAUAAGAAGAAAUUGUAUCUUUUUAAAUAACAAACACGUGAUUCAAUACAUAGGUUCAGUUGCACAAUAGGCUAAUCAUAAGUUCAUACUAAUAGUACUAUCCCAAAUCCCACACAUCCUUCCACGGCUAAGGUCUUCAUGGUGCCUUGGCCUUGCCACGGUCCUGGUCUGAUCCUGAAACCAUCACACAACCCAAAACAUAUGUGUAAGUACAAUCCGAUAUCCUAAACAAUCAUAUCUAGCAUUGCAUGGUUCGGUUCACUUAUUCUAUGUUCCCUAACUAACCAUUCAACCCACAAGGCACACGGACAUACCCAGAACAUCACCUAGCUUUCCCAGCACCCAGUUAACACACGGCCAGACCAAUCAAGAGAGACCUCACCCAUUGUCUCAAUCAAUCUGAACCGGCCAUAUCUUAAUCCCAAAUCUGACCUCCUCAAAUAAAUUCCCAAAAAUUAAUCUUUCAUGAUAAUUCAAGAUAAAUCCUAACUAAGAGAAUGGUCGAGUCAGAACCACCAGAAUCGGUCCCGGCCUCCUAGAUUUCGGCCAUAACCAGCCAAACCGGCCAAACUGACCACCUCUAAAUUCAUCUGAUAAAAUUAGUUCGAACCCAUGAUAAUUCAUGAUAAAUCCCCACUAAGAAGAAUCCACAAUCAGAUCUUAUAGAACCGGCCUCGAUCAUAUAGAUCUCGACCCUGAUCAGCCAAACCGGCCAACAUCCAAGGACUAGGUUCCUGGACAGGUCAAGGACUAGGUUCCUGGACCGGUCAAGGCCUUGAUAUCAUCCCUCUGACUUCGAAUCAUCAGCCCCAUACAGAAUAGAGAUGAAACAGAGAUGGAAUAGAAGGAUAAUGAAAAGAGAUAGGUCUGGCUUCACCAUUCCGGCCACAACCCACACGGAAUUCCACCGCGGCCAUGGCAGGAAGGUUUAGUCCAUCCUACUCACCUUGGGCGUGCGUUCAGGAGUGCUCAAGCCCCUCUCCAUGCCUCUGUUACUCAUCAUCAGCCAAUCUCAACUUCCUCAGACCAACCCUCGGAUUGAAUCAGUCACCAAUACACUCGGCCAAGGCUUUGGCCGAUCACUUCUUCUUCUUUCUCUCUUUCUUUCUCUCACGAUUUGGGCAGAGCUUUUCCUUAGGAAAAUUGUGGCAAAUAUCGGUCCCUAGGGUCUGUAUAUAUAGGAAGAGACAGGCCAAUAACUGCCUGGCCGAACAGGCACCACCUGAUGGCCGAAUGGGUACCAUUUGUGCCAUUCUCACCUUUUCGGCAUAACUGCCCCUUUUCCCUGUUGGGCUGUUCGAACCUGAGCCCACCAUACUUGCCCAUCCUUCCUGGAUCCUUUGUCCAAUCCUCAAACCCAUCGGACUCUCCUUGGCCCCUCAAGCCUCCCUCACGGCCUGGUAUGACCCGUGACCCGGCCACAUGGCCAAGACUCUAACACUUCACUGAGCUGAGGUGAGCUGAUUGCUAGCUGCUCCAGCUGGGUGAGCUAGUAGUCUUGCUAUUGGAGCUGACCUAAGCUAGUGUGAGCUGAAAUGAGCUGUCCAGGACUUGAUCCAGCUGGUAGAGCUACUUCCCAGCUUGGCCGAGCUGCCUUAGAACUCGUCCAGCUCCGUUCCCCUUGUCUUAUCAGGUUCUGGUUAAGUCUCAGCCUACUGAUGCACUUAACCAUCCUUGUACAGCCAUGAUACGCUUGUCUUUGGGUCGUGUGACCUGACUGGUGCAUCUCCUUGCACCAUGGCUGUGCCCGAAGGCACUAUCUAGAAUCAGGGACAUGACAAGUCUCCCUUGAUAUGGAUUCGUCCUCGAAUCCGACCCUAGACCUUCCAUGGAGAACUGUUGAUACCAUUCCGGAAAUUCAGCCUUCAUUCUUGCCUCGGUCUCCCAAGUGACUUGCUCUUGUCCACUGCAAUCCCAAAUCACCUUGACCAUCUCUAUGGUCUUACGUCUCAGUGCUUUCUCCAUUCUGUCUACAACCCGAACCGGCCUUGUUUCUAAGGUGUGGUUUGUGCCUAGAUCGGAUGGAAUCUCUGGAAUGAUAAUGUCCUAAUCUGAAAGACAUUUCCUUAACUGAGACACAUGGAACACAUUGUGAAAUGCUUCCAUUUCUGUUGGUAGGUUCAGCUUGUAAGCCACCGCUCCAACUCGUUCUAUAAUCCGGAAAGGACCCAAGUACCUCGGAUCUAGCUUCCUUCGGCCAGACACCCUUUUCCGAUCUCUGAAAGUGAUCAUUUUGAGAUAAACCAUGUCAUUCACCUCAAACUCCAUAUGUUUCCUCCUUCUGUCUGCAUAGGACUUGUGGCGAUCUUGUGCUUCUUUCAUCUUGUCCCUUAUGAACUUAAUCUUCUCUGUGGUCUCUUCCACUAUCUCAGGUCCUAUCAUGCUGCGCUCCACCACUUGGGUCCAGCAUAACGGUGUCCUGCAAGGUCGUCCAUACAAGGCUUCAUAAGGCGACAUCCCAAUGCUCGUGUGGAAGCUUUUGUUGUAAGAAAACUCCACCAACGGCAAAUGUUUUUCCCAGGAGUUACUCCAGUCCAAAACACAUGCUCCCAACAUAUCCUCCAUCGUCUGGAUGGUUCUUUCUGACUGACCAUCUGUCUGCGGAUGAUAAGCUGUACUCAUGUUCACCCUGGUUCCUAAGGCCUUUUGGAAAGCCUUCCAGAAGUAAGAACAGAACCGUGGGUCUCUGUCGGAAACAAUACUGGCCGGCACUCCAUGCAGGCGUACUAUUUCAUCCAUGUAGAUCUGCACCAAAGGCUCCAUACCAUCAGUCUUCUUGAUUGGUAUGAAAUGAGCUGAUUUGGUCAAACGAUCCACCACUACCCAAACUGAAUCCUUCCUGUUCCUGGUCGUGGGAAAUCCGGACACGAAGUCCAUGGUUAUGUGAUCCCACUUCCAUUAUGGAAUAAGUAAGUUCUGAAGUAUCCCACUAGGUACUUGAUGCUCAGCCUUGACGAGUUGGCAAGUAGGACACUUAGCCACCCACUCGGCCACAUCAGUCUUCAUGCGAACCCAAAUGGUAAUACCUCUUGAUGUCUUUAUACAUCUUGUUCAGUCCGGGAUGCACAGAGAUCUUAGACUUAUGAUACUGAAUCAUAAUCUCUUCCUUAAGUCCCCGCACGUUAGGGACGCUAAUCCUUCCAUGGACCAAGAUCGUUCCAUCUUGAGCCGUCUGAUACUCCGUCUUCUCGUUCCGAGCAACCCCUUGAAGGUCCUCGUCCAAGACCUGAGCUUGUCUAAUCCUGGUCAGAAGAUCGGCCUGGUUCACUGCUUCCAAACCCAAAGGUUCGUCCUCGCUAACCAAGGUAUUUAGGUGCAACGAUCUGACCAUCCCUUCCAACAUGUCCGCCUCUUUCUCAGCCGAUACUUCAGCUCUUCUGCGGCUCAAUGCAUCGGCCACCAGGUUUGCUUUACCUGGAUGGUAUGCUAUGUCAAGAUCACAGUCGGCCACAAACAAUGGUAUUCUAUGUCAAGAUCAUAGUCGGGCACAAACUCCAUCCAUCUUCUUUGUCUCAAAUUCAACUCAGGUUGAGUGAAUAUAUACUUGAGGCUUUUGUGGUCGGUUAAAAUCUGAACCUUGGCACCAUACAAGUAUGACCGCCAUAUCUUGAGGGCAAACACCACUGCGGCCAUCUCCAGGUCGUGGGUUGGGUAGUUACCCUCGUGCUUCCUCAAUUGCCUAGAGGCAUAGUCAAUGACCUUUCUGUGUUGGGUCAAUACACAUCCAAAUCCGGCGAUGGAUGCGUCUGUGUAUACCACAUAAGGUUGGUCAACCUCUGGUAGCACUAGAACGGGUGCAUUCGUCAACAUAUUCUUCAAGGCAGAGAAACACUUCUCACAUCCUUCAGACCAUACAAAUCUCACAUCUUUUCCAGUUAGCUGUUUCAUCGGUUGGGCCAAGCUGGCAAACCCUUUGACAUAGUUCCUGUAGUAACCGGCCAGCCCUAGGAAACUCCUGACCUCCGUGACACUCUUAGGUCGUGGCCAUUCCUGUAUGGCCUUGAUCUUCUCUUGUUCAAUCGAGACUCCUUGAUCGGACACGAUGUGUCCAAGGAACCCAAAACUCUUUUUCCAAAAACUGCACUUGCUCAACUUGGCAAAGAGCUGUUGUUCCCUCAACCGUCCUAGCACAGCCCUUAAAUGCCUUUCAUGGUCUUCCUUGCUCUUGGAAUUUACUAAUAUGUCAUCUAUGAAGAUGAUUGCAAAUUCAUCCAAGAAAUCUCGAAAGAUACCAUUCAUCAUCUUCAUAAAGGCUGCUGGUGAAUUGGUUAGUCCGAAUGGCAUGACCACAAAUUCGUAGUGACCGUACCUUGUUCGGAAUGCUGUCCUUCUAACAUCAUUUGGUUCAAUAGGGAUCUGAUGAUACCAUGAAGCCAAAUCGAUCUUAGAGAACCACUUUGCACCCUUGAGCUGAUCCAAUAACUCAUCUAUCCGAGGCAAUGGGUAUUUGUUCUUCACGGUAACCCGGUUCAACCCUCGAUAGUCAAUGCACAACCUGAAGCUACCAUCUUUCUUUUUGACAAAAAGAACCGGUGCUCCCCAAGGUGACACACUAGGUCUUAUAAAACCCUUAUCCAGCAACUCCUCCAGUUGCUUCUUAAGCUCGGCCAUCUCGGCAUGAGCCAUUCUGUAGGGACUUUUGGAUAACGGGGCCGUCCCUGGUUCCAGUUCUAUUAUGAAUGGGUCCGACCUAUCAGGGGGAAUGCCCUGUAGUGACCUAAACACAUCGUGGAACUCUCGGACCAGCGGUAUUCCCUCCGGGUCACCACCCACGACGACCUCCUUAGUGGCGAUUGUGGCUAGAUAAGCUUCACAACCCUUCCUCAGCAUCUUUUCAACAUGGAUUGCUGACACCACCAAGCAUCCAGAGAUCGGACGUAUACCUUGGAACCUGACCGGAGAUCCACUCCCACCCUCAUACUGCACUCGCCCCCGGUGAUAGUCAAGAGUGGCCCGGUUCUUUCCAAGCCAGUCAAUACCUAAUAUCACCACAAGAUCCACAGGCAUGACCCUGUCUGGGAUCACCACUGGGAUGUCCCGAAUCACUCCUAGUGAACUCAUAACUUGCCAACCGGCCGUGUUCACUACCCCAGGACAAUCCCCCGUUCCCAACUGGAACAACCCCGUUCCGAGCAUCCCUGGGCUCACAAAGCUAUGUGUAGCACCAGUAUCAAAAAGUAUGUGUGUUUCCACACCACCAAUACUUAGGGUCCCUACAUAUGACCCAAUCUAAGUAUCUAACCAUUCUAAGUUUCGUACCAUGCAAUUCUAUUGAAUUGAAAAGGUGAAGAUCACACAAUUACCAGUGAUCGCUUGGAAUGGCCCGGUCCUGUCCUCAUCCUUGGACAACUCAUAGACGCGCGGUGCUGAAGUCUGUCCGCGGUUCGGAUCCGGCUGCUAACCUCUCCUCGGCUCUUGCUUGGCCCGGAUGACAGCUUAGGACAAUCCUUUCGGAGAUGUCCCUUCUUUCCACAGUAAUGGCAUGUCCAUGUAUCACCACUAGCCCCUUGCUCCUGUCUAGGACAGUCACGAGCUGAGUGAUCCAUCUUGCCACAUCGGAGACAGGCUCCCAUUGCUCUCCAGCAUUCACCACCAUGAUGUCUGCCGCACUUGGGACACUCAGGCCUACCACUUGAAGGCUUACCUUCGUCAGCCUGUUCCCUCUUCCUCUUGCGGUCAUUGCUACCACCACUAGGAGCCGUGUGACUCCGGAUUUUCAGCUUAGCCUCCUCGGCCAAGUUAGUCUCAAACAUAGCCAUCCUUUCAACCAGUUCAGACACAGUGUGAAAGGUGCGAACUGAGCAGUAGGUUUGGAGCUCAACCCUUACGCCUCUUAUGAACCGAUGAACCUGUACUGACUCGUCCUCUAACUCCUUACCCACAUAACGCCAGAGACGGUUGAAUUCUUCUUCAUACUCUCUUACUGUCCUGCAUCCCUGAACCAGGUCCAAGAACUUAGCCUCUAGACGAUCCCAUGCCUCAGCUGGGCAGUACUUGUGGUUGAACUCCACCUCAAAGUUGGAGAAGCGUUCAAUGCUGCCACUGGUACGCUUUUCUAGAGCCAACCACCAGUUGUGAGCAUCACCUUCCAAGAAGUGAACUGCAAUGUCCUUCUUGUAGUCAUCUGGGCAUCGAGUUAAGCUGAAAUUACAGACUAGCCUGCUCCUCCACUCGUCAGCCUCUAAUGGAUCAACACUUCCAGCAAAGUGUUUAGUCCCCAGCUUGGAUAUGUGCUCAAGCAGCUUCAGAUAAUCCAUCCUCUUAGCUGUCCUAGCUGGGGGAUCGAUUUCAAUCCCCUCAGCCACUUCCUCCAACUGCUGCUGAGAUCCUCGACCAGCUGCCUGAGCUGCCGCAAUCGGACCCGUCCGGUCAUUCCCCAAAGGAAUGGCUGUCCUUACAGGCGUGAAUGCCUGGGUCAAGGCCAAGAUCUGAGUCCCCAUAGCCUUCAUGGCUUCUAGCACCUCCUUCAUAGACGGUUCAGCAGUCUGAUUCACUUGACCAGCUGUUCCGCCUACCUGAUCGUCCUGGCGACCAGUCUGCGAGGACUCUCCUUGCUCCUCAAACCCCCUUUCUUGUUGUCGUCCAGCUCCAUCAACUGGUUCCAGCUCCGGUUCCAGCUGACGUCCUGAUCCGUCCACACGAACCUCAGUCGGAUUCACCUGAACAACAGGAGGCCCGAUCUCCACAUUUGUCCCAUCCGUUUGGAUUGGCAACAACACGGUCGGGUUAACCCCAUCAUCAACUCAUAUAAGGAAACACGCAAUCCCUUAGGCUAACUACGCAAUCAACCAGACCUUACCAUGAGACUCAGCCGGAUGUGUGGUGAUUUCCCAUAACCCCAUAACAAUCCUAGAACCAACUCUGCUCUGAUUCAACUUGUAAGACCCGAUCCUGGCUCCAAAGCCCAACUUGGACCCGCAUACACACAGGACGUCCAUGGGUGUCCGUCAGCACACACAGGACGUCCGUGUGUGCCCUCAGCACACACAAGACGUCCGUGGCUGUCUGUGUGUGUCCGUCAACACACAUAGGACGUUCGUGGCUGUCCAUCAGUACACAUAUCAGCACGCUGGUCCUUGGACUCCGCAUGCUGACCCUUCCCGUGGACAUUUCGGGUGAUUUUGGCCCACGUGGGCUGUCUGUUCAAUACACACAGGACGUCCGUGGAUGUCCGCCAGAACACACAGGACGUCCGUGGCUGUCCGUGUGUGUCCGUCAGCACACACAUGACGUCCGUGGCUGUCCAUCAGUACACAUAUCAGCACGUUGGUCCUUGGACUCCGCACGCUGACCCUUCCCGUGGACAUUUGGGUGAUUUGGGCCCACGUGGGCUGUCUGUUCAGUACACACAGGACGUCCGUGGGUGUCCCUCAGCACACACAGGAUGUCUGUGGCUGUCCGUCAGCACACACAGGACGACCGUGGCUGUCCAUCAGUACAUAUAAGCACGCUGGCCCUUCCCGUGCACUGUUCGGGUGAUUUUGGCCCACGUGGCCUGUCUAUUCAGUACACACGGAACGUCCAUGGGUGUCCGUAAGCACACACAGGACGUCUGUGUGUGCCAUUAGCACACACAGGACGUCCAUGGCUGUUCGUGUGUGUCCGUCAGCACACACAGGACAUCCGUGGCUGUCCAUCAUUACACAUAUCAGCAAGUUGGUCCUUGGACUCCGCACGCUGACCCUUCCCGUGGACAUUUUGGGAGAUUUUGGCCGAUGUGGGCUGUCUGUUCAGAACACACAGGACGUCUGUGGGUGUCCACCAGAACACAAAGGACGUCCGUGGCUGUCCGUGUGUGUCCGUCAGCACACACAGGACGUCCGUGGCUGUCCAUCAGUACACAUAGCAGCACGGGUGUCCUUGGACUCCGCAUGCUGAUCCUUCCCGUGGAAAUUUCGGGUGAUUUUUGCCCACGUGGCCUGUCUGUUCAGUACACACAGGACGUCCGUGGGUUUCCGUGUGUGUCCGUCAGCACACACAGGACGUCUGUGGUUGUCCAUCAGUACACAUAUCAGCACGUUGGUCCUUGGACUCAGCACGCUGACCCUUCUCGUGGACUAUUUGGGUGAUUUUGGCCCAUGUGAACUGUCUGUUCAGUACUCACAGGACGUCCGUGGGUGUCCGCUAGCACACACAGGACGUCCGUGGCUGUCCGUGAGUGUCCGUGUGUGUCCAUCUGUGUCUGUCAGCACACAGAAGACGUAUGUGUCAGUCAGCACACACAGGACGUAUGUGGCUGUCCAUCAGUACAUAUAUCAGCAAGUUGGUACAUGGACUCAGCACGCUGACCCUUCCCGUGGACAUUUCGGGUGAUUUUGUCCCACUUGGGUUGUAUGUUCAGUACACACAGGACGUCCAUGGGUGUCCGCCAACACACACAGGACGUCCGUGGCUGUCCGUCAGCACACAGAGGACAUCCCUGGCAGUCCGUGGCUGUCCGUCAGCACCCACAGGACGUCCGUAGCUGUCUGUGGCUGUCCGUCAACACACACAGGACGUCCGUGGCUGUCCGUGUGUGUCCAUCAGCACACACAGGACGUCUGUGGCUGUCCAUCAGUACACAUAUCAGCACGCUGGCCCUUGGACUCAGCACGCUGGCCCUUCCCGUGGACUGUUUGGGUGAUUUUGGCACACGUGGACUGUCUGUUCAGUACACACAGGCCGUCUGUGGGUGUCCACCAGCAUACACAGGACGUCCGUGGCUCUCUGUGGCUGUCCGUCAGCACAGACAGGACGUCCGUGGCUGUCCGUGUGUGUCCUUCAGCACACACAGGACGUCCGUGGCUGUCCAUCAGUACACAUAUCAGCACGCUGGCCCUUGGACUCAGCACGCUGGCCCUUACCGUGGACUGUUUGGGUUAUUUUGGCACAGGUGGGCUGUCUGUUCAGUACACACAGGCCGUCCGUGGGAGUCCACCAGCAUACACAGGACGUCAGUGACUGUCCGUGUGUGUCCAUCAGCACACACAGGACGUUCGUGGCUGUCUGUUUGUGUCCGGGUGUGUCCGUGUGUGUCCGUCAGCACACACAAGAUGUCCGUGGCUGUCCAUCAGUACACAUAUCAGCACCCUGGUCUUUGGACUCAGCACGCUGGCCCUUCCUGUGGACUGUUUGGGUGAUUUUGGCCCACGUGGGCUGUCUGUUCAGUACACAGAGGACGUCCGUGGGUGUCCGCCAGCACACACAUGACGUCCAUGGCUGUCUCUGUGUGUCCGUCAGCACACACAGGAUGUCCGUGGCUGUCCGUGUGUGUUUGUGUUUGUCCGUCAGCAGACACAAGACGUCUGUGGCUGUCCAUCAGUACACAUAUCAGCACGCUGGCCCUUGGACUCAGCACGCUGGCCCUUCCAGUGGACUGUUUGGGUGAUUUUGGCACACGUGGGCUGUCUGUUCAGUACACACAGGCCGUCCGUGGGAGUCCACCAGCAUACACAGGACGUCCGUGGCUGUCUAUGGCUGUCCGUCAGCACACACAGGACAUCCGUGGCUGUCCGUGUGUGUCCGUCAGCACACACAGGACAUCUGUGGCUGUCCAUCAGUACACAUAUCAGCACGGUGGUCCUUGGACUCCGCUGACUGACCCUUCCCGUGGACAUUUCGGGUGAUUUUGUCCCACUUGGGUUGUCUGUUCAGUACACACAGGACGUCCAUGGGUGUCCGCCAACACACACAGGACGUCCGUGGCUGUCCGUCAGCAUACAGAGGACGUCCCUGGCAGUCCAUGGCUGUCCGGCAGCACCCACAGGACGUCCGUAGCUGUCUGUGGCUGUCCGUCAGCACACACAGGACGUCCGUGGCUGUCCGUGUGUGUCCGUGUGUGUCCAUAAGCACACACAGGACGUCCGUGGCUGUCCAUCAGUACACAUAUCAGUACGCUGGCCCUUGGACUCAGCACGCUGGCCCUUCCCGUGGACUGUUCGGGUGCUUUUAGCCCACGUGGGCUGUCUGUUCAGUACACACAUGACGUCCGUGGGUGUCCGUCAGCACACACAUGACGUCCGUGGCUCUCCGUGUGUGUCCGUCAGCAUACACAGGACGUCUGUGGCUGUCCGUGUGUGUCCGUGUGUGUCCAUCAGCACACACAGGCACACACAGGAUGUCCGUGGCUGUCCAUCAGUACACAUAUCAGCACGUUGGUCGUUGGAAUCAGCACGCUGGCCCUUCCCGUGGACUGUUUGGGUGAUUUUGGCACACGUGGGCUGUCUAUUCAGUACACACAGGCCGUCCGUGGGAGUCCACCAGCAUACACAGGACGUCCUUGGCUGUCUGUGGCUGUCCGUCAGCACACACAGGACGUCCGUGGCUGUCCGUGUGUAUCCCUGUGUGUCCGUCAGCACACACAGGACGUCUGUGGCUGUCCAUCAGUACACAUAUCAGCACGUUGGUCCUUAGACUCAGCACGCUUACCCUUCCCGUGGACUUUUCGGGUGAUUUUGGCCCAUGUGGGCUGUCUGUUCAGUACACACAGGACGACCGUGGGUGUCUGCCAGCACACACAGGACGUCUGUGGCUGUUCGUGUGUGUCCGUCUGUGUCCAUCUGUGUCUGUCAGCACACACAGGACGUCCGUGACUGUCCGUGUGUGUCCCUGUGUGUCCGUCAGCACACAUAGGACGUCCGUGGCUGUCCAUCACUACACAUAUCAGCACGCUGGUCCUUGGUGUGUCCGUCAGCACACACAAGAUGUCUGUGGCCGUCCAUCAGUACACAUAUCAGCCCCCUGGUCUUUGGACUCAGCAUGCUGGCCCUUCCCAUGGACUGUUUGGGUGAUUUUGGCCCACGUGGGCUGUCUGUUCAGUACACAGAGGACGUCCGUGGGUGUCCGCCAGCACACACAUGACGUCCAUGGCUGUCUCUGGGGGUCNNNNNNNNNNNNNNNNNNNNNNNNNNNNNNNNNNNNNNNNNNNNNNNNNNNNNNNNNNNNNNNNNNNNNNNNNNNNNNNNNNNNNNAUGUCGUGGCUGUCCGCGUGUGUCCGUGUGUGUCUGUGUUUGUCCGUCAGCAGACACAAGACGUCUGUGGCUGUCCAUCAGUACACAUAUCAGCACGCUGUUCCUUGGAUUCAGCACGCUGGCUCUUCCCGUGGACUGUUCGGGUGAAGUUGGCCCACGUGGGCCGUCUGUUCAGAACACACAAGAUUUUCGUGGGUGUCCGUCAGCACACACAGGACGUCUGUGUGUGUCCGUCAGCACACACAGGACGUCCGUGGCUGUCCGUGUGUGUCCUUCAGCACACACAGGACGUCCGUGGCUGUCCAUCAGUACACAUAUCAGCACAUUGGUUCUUGGACUCAGCACGCUGGCCCUUCCCGUGGACUAUUUGGGUGAUUUUGGCCCACGUGGGCUGUCUGUUCAGUACACACAGGACGUCCGUGGCUGUCAGUGGCUGUCCGUUAGCACACACAUGACGUUUGUGGCUGUCCGUGUGUGUCCGUGUGUGUCCCUAUGUGUCAGUACACACACAGGACGUCCGUGGCUAUCCGUCGCUGUCUGUCAGCACACACAUGACGUCUGUGUCUGUCCGUGUGUGUCCCUGUGUGUCCAUCAGCACACACAGGACGUCUGUGGCUGUCCAUUAGUCCGUGUGUGUCCGUCAGCACAAACAGGACGUCCGUGGCUGUCCAUCAGUACACAUAUCAGCAAGUUGGUACUUGGACUCAGCACGCUGACCCUUCCCGUCGACAUUUCGGGUGAUUUUGUCCCACGUGGGUUGUCUGUUCAGUACACACAGGACGUCCAUGGGUGUCCGCCAACACACACAGGACGUCCGUGGCUGUCCGUCAGCACACAGAGGACAUCCCUGGCAGUCCGUGGCUGUCCGUCAGCACCCACAGGACGUCCGUAGCUGUCUGUGGCUGUCCGUCAGUACACACAGGACGUCCGUGGGUGUCCGUCAGAACACACAUGACGCCCGUGGCUCUCCGUGUGUGUCCGUCAGCAUGCACAGGACGUCCGUGGCUGUCCUUGUGUGUCCGUCUGUGUCUAUCAGCACACACAGGACCUCCGUGGCUGUCCAUCAGUACACAUAUCAGCACGCUGGACCUUGGACUCAGCACGCUGGCCCUUCCCGUGGACUGUUCGGGUUCUUUUGGCCCACGUGGGCUGUCUGUUCAGUACACACAGGACGUCCGUGGGUGUCCGUCAGAACACACAUGACGCCCGUGGCUCUCCGUGUGUGUCCGUCAGCAUGCACAGGACGUCCGUGGCUGUCCUUGUGUGUCCGUCUGUGUCUAUCAGCACACACAGGACCUCCGUGGCUGUCCAUCAGUACACAUAUCAGCACGCUGGCCCUUGGACUCAGCACGCUGGCCCUUCCCGUGGACUGUUUGGGUGAUUUUUGGCACACGUGGGCUGUCUGUUCAGUACACACAGGCUGUCCGUGCGAGUCCACCAGCAUACAUAGGACGUCCGUGGCUGUUUAUGGCUGUCCGUCAGCACACACAGGACGUCUGUGGCUGUCCAUCAGUACACAUAUCAGCACGGUGGUCCUUGGACUCCGCACGCUGACCCUUCCCAUGGACAUUUCGGGUGAUUUUGGCCCAUGUGGGCUGUCUGUUCAGUACACACAGGACGUCCGUGGGUGUCCGCCAGCACACACAGGACGUCCGUGGCUAUCCGUCGCUGUCUGUCAGCACACACAUGACGUCUGUGUCUGUCCGUGUGUGUCCCUGUGUGUCCAUCAGCACAUGACUGUCCGUGUGUGUCCAUCAGCACACACAGGACUGUCACGCCCCCAAUCCUGGAAAGGAUUGUCGGGACGGCCAUGGUUCGAGGAAACGUACCAGCCAGUCUUAGGACAUCAAGGCAAGCGUUCCAUGGUCAAGAAAGAAGGUUAAGUACAUAAGGAAACUUAGACUUAACCUUAUAAGAGCAAAGAGACAGCUAAGACGAGUAAGACGGUAGCUGGAUGAGAUAGAGAAGUAGCUCGACCAGCUUAACGAAGAUAGGUUGAGUUCACUCCAGCUCAGCCACUACUAAGUCAGCUCCACUAGCUGGACUACUAGCUCACUCAGCUGAGGCAGCUGGGAGUCAGCUCAUCUCAGCUAGACGGACUGUUCGGGUUUUAGGCCGAUGGUCCGGGUCCGGGUCAGUGGCGGGCUGUGAGGUCCGGCCAUGAGGCCAUGGGCUGUUGGGUCCUUGGACAAGGCCGUGGGCUAAGUCCAGGAGUCUUGGGGCGUGGGUUGGGCUUAUGACCGACCCCAAACCCAAUCAGAAAGGGCGAAAGGAUGCAACCUGAUUUUGUUGCACAUGAAAACACCUUCUGGCAGUAGUGGCAAAUGCACCUGUCACGGCUCUGCUUUGUCCUGGUGUAAUGAUUCCAGACAUCUGAUCUUGGCACAACAACUUUUUUCACCUUUUUUGCCUCAGGACUUUCUUCGCAAGGUGUACAUGUCUCCUUCCUCUUUCCACACCUAUCUGGUGUUUCAAAGUUCUCGUAUUCAACCCCAUCUUGCUUGUCAGCUCCACUGUUUGUGUUCUUGAAUGUUGAUGAAGCCAUUUGCUAAGAAAUGACAAACAAUAGUCAGAUUAAACAAAACAAAACAGACAAAACAACUAAAGAUUUGACACAUUUUAGAACAUGAAAAAACAGAACAUCAACAUCAUCGCAUAGACAUGAACAAAAGUUAAAAAAAACAAUCAUCUUUGCGGAUCAAUCAAGAUAAAUAAAACGUCCCUUUUUAUAAGAAAAUGAAACAACUUAUGAUGAACAUCAUCUAACAACAGAACAGAACUCUAUGAAUUAAGAACAUAAGACGUUGUUCUGUUCAUGAAAACAACUAGCUGAAUAGGAAACCCAUAAACCCGACAAAUCCGAAUGACCCAUAAACCCCAGAACAUCUAGCCAUUACUCGAUUGCAGAGAAAAGGAGGAAGAGUAUCUCACGGUGAUGGCUAGAUUCUCACCUCUUAAUGAAAUCGUCGAAGGAGGAGGAGAGGAGUUUUGGUGCUUUGUACUUCGGUGAAGAGCACACGUUAUAUAAGAAAGGAGAUACAAGGGUUUGUGAAUCACAGAACCGAUUUGAAGAGAAAUCGGAGAGGAUAUGUUUAGGAAAGAGGAUCAUGAUUUAGGGAAAUCUCAAUAUUGAGAAAAAAAGAUCGAAUCGUAACAGGAUCAAGAGAAAUCGAAAAGGGGAAAAUGGAAACCUAGACCUAUAUCUCUCGAUGCUCGGGUAUCCAUUUACCCGAUCGGGUUGGUGCUUUUUACCCGACCCGACCCGUAACCCGUUAUACCAAAUAUAUGUGACCAUUCGGGUAUUUCUCAAGAUCCGAACCCGACCCGAACCGGUUUUAUCGGACCGGGUUCGGUUCGGGUGAUCGGGUUUGGUUUUAAUGCCCUGCCCUAGAUGCAAGUGGCCGAAAGGGGACAACCCUUGGCCGAUGGUGCCCAUUCGCUAGCAAGUCGUGCCUGUUCGUGGGGCAAGACUUACCCCCUCUUUUUCUAUAAAUAUGGGGCCUUUCCUGUCGAUUUCAUUAUCAAAUUCCAGAGUAAAAUACUCAUGGAAAAACGUAGAGAGAGAGAGAGAGAGUUCUGGCCAAGAGAUCGGCCGGAAAAUGGCCGGUCGUGGUGGUUUAGUAUCUCCGGCAAGGAGAACGGUUUAGGAGAGAGGAGGCCGUGUGGUUAUGAAUACCCAAGGCAUAGAGAAAGGUCUGUAGAAGGACUCCAACCCCGUGGUUCAGUCAGAUAUGGUCAGUGGGGUAACCACCCACUCAUCGGCUAAGACCAUCGGACAGUCCGAACCGGUCUAGCCAUGGGCAUUUGGAUUGUGUCCUAUUCUUCUUAUUCUUUUCAUCUAUUUCUUCUUCUACUCCUUCUGUACAUUGGCGUGUCCUUGUUGAUGUGUUGGGAUUGGUUUUAACCGUGGUUCUGGUUGAGUAAUGCGGUCGCGGUCCAUAACCGAUGAGUUAGGCGCGUGCAUGGUCUAAACCGGCCUCAGGUGAUCCGAUUGGAUAGGGGCGGUUCUAUUCUGUUCUGAACGGUUGCAACCCUUCCCUGAACAGUCACAAUGGUUCAUGACUUGUGUAGGUUAAGGCGUGGUCCUUUGGCCAUAGGCCGGACACACGCACGGACCAGACAGUCCAUACGGACGGAUAGGUCGAACAGUUGGAACAUCUGAAUGGGUGCGAGAUACCAAGGGUCAUGAGUUCCAAACGGUGCCAUUGGUUCAAGGCUUAGGCCGAACCAAGUGGACAGUCCGCGGCUGCAUAGUCGAACGGACGGACGGUUAGUUUAACCGGAGUGUUGUGUCGCAAGGUCUGAUUGGUUGCAAGGCAAUCCGGUUUGGUCUUGGGCCUUACUCUGUGGUAUGGAUCCAGGCUUUGGGACGGAUCAGGUAAGAAGGUCCGUGAGCCUUUGGGCCGGACUUAUAACUGGUCGAUCGCACCUAGAUCUUAACCAGACGGUUAGACGGGACUAUGGACGAUCCGGCUAUGGUUGGAUGGUUCUGGCCGCAAAGGCUAAGUGGGAUAUCUUACAAUCAACUUUGGGUUUGUGAGUAGGUUAGGCGCCAUAUGUCUUAUGUAGGGAGUAGACCUACAUGAUGGCAAUGGAAGGCCGGUUAUAUCAGUACAUGCUAAGUGGACGAUGGUUUAUCAAGUCUAGUGGUCGGAUCAUGUUUCAUGAGGAUGGGUCGAUGGCCGAACACUAGUAUGGAUAGUCACGUUGCUGGAGUAAGAGUAUUGAUAUGAUGCUUCUAGAUAUCAACCUUGGUGUUGAUAGCUUCGAGAUUGGUUAAGAGUCAUGACGAAGUGUAUGGCUAGUACUAUGUGUCGUAGACCAUAGGUACUAAGCCUAGGUAUAAUUGUUCAAGGAAGGCCGUGUAAGAUCUGAUCAUGGUUGAGUAUGGACGACCUGACCUCUGGAUGAUGGUCUAAGGUGUCAGUACUAACCUGAUUAAUGAAUGCAUCGGUUGGUAUGAACAAGUCAUAUCUAUUGUCUAGGUUAAGUCCCAAGGCCGGUCAGGCCAGAUGAUGACUCAUCAGUUCCAAGUCAUGUGAGGAAGGUUGGUUGAUUGCCUUAGGAUCUCAUGAGCUUUGUCAGUCCAGAAGAUGGACUUGGUACUAUUGCCUAUAAGGAAAAAGGAUUUCGGAUUGUGCAUGAGCCGAGAAAGGCCAGAUGUAUAUCCUUUUCCUUUCGAAGACUUCUCAAAGGUUACUUACGUCUGUGGGGAUGGUUGGUUGAAUGACUAAGUACCUAGGGGAGCUGUUUAAUGCAGGAACAAAGAUAAAGACCAAUAAGAGACUCAAUGAGUUGAAUGAUUAGUUCGAGUCAACGGAGGACCGAUGAGCUAAUAAGCUCCAUAGAUGUGGCAAAGGUAUGAUCUAGCAUUUACUUAUGUAGAUCUAGAUAGAAUGGUUUAGGGGAAUGGAACCUCAGAAUCUUAUGGCUUGGUUUGGGUUUAGGAUUGACCUUUAAGCUAAUUGGUAGUUGAGUAAACUGACCAAGGCUAAGGUGAUUCGACCAGACAAGUGUUAGAUUGGUUUUAGACCAAUGGUUAACUAGAGAAUAUUCCGCUGCGUAUCUGUUGAAAGGAUCUAGGCUAUUAAUGACUAGGGAAGUCUUUAGCUAAGAUUUAAGUUAGCCCUCGCCUUUAGGCGAUAUUAUAAAUAAAGGGCAAAAAUUAAGAGGUUCGGCCAGGAAGUGGACCGAGCGACGUGAGGAAUCGACCGCGGCCUAGGCGGCCGGGAUUGGGUCUUACAAGGACGUUCGAGGCUGUCUGUUUGUGUCCGUGUGUGUCCGUCAGCACACACAAGAUGUCUGUGGCUGUCCAUCAGUACACAUAUCAGCACACUGGUCUUUGGACUCAGCAGACUGUUUGGGUGAUUUUGGCCCACGUGGGCUGUCUGUUCAGUACACAGAGGACGUCCGUGUGUAACACCCCCGAACCGUCCUAAGCAUAGGUCGACACACCGGCCAACAAUCAAACAAGAACAUGACCGACGGACGACCCACACCAGGGGUUGGAGAUGAAAGGCCAACCGGCCAGCCAACAAUCAAACAAGAACAUGACUGACCGUCCAAACCAACACCAUGGUCCGGAAGCGCUACGUGACGGGCUAGGGACAAUCCGGUCAGAGUCACAAACUUUACUCCACGACCUAGACCAGUUCAUCCACUAACUCGUCCCGCUGCGUCAAGGCAUAAGGCUUUGCAACCCGUACCUAGAGUUAGCGUUUUCCGUUAGAUCAAGGCCUAAGGCUUUUCAACCCGUACCUCGACCUAACGUUGUGUUAGACCGGACUAGUCAAAUAUCAGAGUACUCAUGAAGCGCAUAUAAAACAAUUACUUUUAUUGAUUCAAGAAAUAUUCAUACAUUGAAUAAUUCAAGACUGGGCCCGGCCUAAUGCCAAAUCGAGUCAACAUAACACAAUACACAAUACCGUUUACAAAAGGCAUGAAAAUCUACACCGGCGGUCCUAUCGUCCAGCACGACCGUUUACAAAAGGCAUGAAAAUCUACACCGGCGGUCCUAACGUCCAGCACCAAGCUAUCCGAUCAUCCUUACCUAAAGCGACCUGCAAAAAGGACAACGGAGUUGGAUGAGUAAUCUAGUAUUACUCAGUGAGCUGGCGGCCUCUACCCGCAACCUAGACUCUACCCAGACAACCCAAAAUAACAAUCAAUCUAGCCCUAGCAUGCAAUAAAAGCUAAGGCUAAGCAAACCGUUACUAAGUUAGACUUGGCCUCCUGCCAUGAUCUAGCUUCAAGUAACGGGAACCUGCAUUAAAACAAGUCAACAAGCAAUCCCUAGUUAACCAUAUAUACGCUUGAGUUCAGUACUCAUGUAGUGUUAGACACUUAGACUAUACAAAUACCAUUGGCCGAUCGACCAACAAUCAAACAAGAACAUGAUCGGCCAACCAAUGAUACCGCAUAGCUUUAAUAUCCACCACCCUUCACAAGCAAUCACUCAAACACAUAUAGGCCAACGUCAGGCCUACACUAACCAAAUACACACCAAGCCUAAUCCGGUACCUAAACCGGACUUAUGACUUAUUGUCAGAACCUGCAAGCAAAUCAGUCAACCACAAACACAAUCACAAUAAUAAGACUAUGAGUAUCUAUGACUCGAUCUAACUCGUAACACCGUAUAUCGGUGCUACACUAACUCGAGGGUUCCAUAAUCCUCUACGACACUCUAACACAACACUCUAACCUGGGCCCUGGUGACUUCGUGUUCCUCCUCCCUAUCGGCAAUAUCCUAUCUCCCUACCACAAAGGCCAGAAGAAGGAACUUUCAACCGACCGCGGCCCACAGUCCUUCGGGUCACCGCGCGACAGCCCACAGUCCUUCGGGUCACUGCCACAUUACACCGUCGUGUAAUACUCAGCCAUAGUACAUGACACCGUUCGUCUGAGUCUUCCCGAUCCAGCGAAUAAGGGGUUUCCUUGAACCCGCUGGGUACGAGGCCGAGGAAACACUAAUCACCCCUACACAAGCCUAGUAUGGGCGGGUCACGCACAUACUGUCGGCACACUCACACAACACAAACUCAAUCUAGAACCUAACCUAAAGAUAAUGUUCCAGAUCCUAACUAGACACGACUCCACAAGACUAACCAUAGUACCAGUAGUCCGGCCUAUAUGGCCUAGGACCCUUAGUACUAAUAACUAAACAAUAAUAUCAAUACUAAACAAAUAAAUCAAACCGUUAUCCAGAUAGUCCAGCCUCCUGCUAUGAAACUAUCCUUAAAGAUAUCGGGAACCUGCACUCAACCAUGUCAACACGCAAGAAUAGAAAACAUGAUGCAUCCUAGCCCUAGUCCUAGUCAGGUUAUUAACUCAGUCUUAAUUUCAUUCAUCUCAGCUUAGCCCUUGCUAAACUGAGUCCGGUUCCAUAAAUAAAAUAACCCUAAGGACUCUACCAUUUAAUAGCGUGAUCAUUCUAAUCUAUAUGCAGACUCGAUCUACCCUAAAUUCCAAGUGGAAUUCACACAAACCAACUCACAGUGUUCUAGGCGAGAAGCUGCUGGUUGAUCGGAGAGGACUUGGCCAAAACCAAAGGGACGCCUUGACUGGACUGGACUGAACUGACCUCGACUUGGACAGACCCUUGGAUUGAUCAUGAAGACACUAACAGGUUUGGACGGACUGAUCUGAACAGAACCUUCUUUUAGCUCCUCGACAGUUCUUCGGACUUUCCGGCAGAGCAUCGAGCAGAACUUCGACUGAUCUGAAUCCGUGGAACUGAACUAAUCUUGGACAGCACCUCCACUUGAUUGUAGGAGAAUAUGACUGGCUUGGACGGAUUGAAUUGUACAGAGCUUCCGCGUCACAAUCGUAGAGAAUCGCCGAUUGGACGGAACUGGCCUUCUCGGUGGAGUAUCGGUCUUCAGAAUCGACCAUACUCUAGAAUCGAUCACUUCCUUUCUCUCUCUCUCUCUCUAUAGCCACGUUGACUUGACUCCCAUCUGAUCUGAUCUUCACUUGAUUGACCUUCAGUUGGACAGAACCUUCCCAAGGCAAUGACUCGAAAUCAAUAGAGAACUGACCUCGAAAACUCUCUAAAACUCUCGAUACAGCUCGGAAUCACUUGCUUUCUUUUUCUAUCUUUCUCUCAUGUUUUUAACUUGGUUUGGACAGGUCUGGAUGUGAAGAAAUGAGUUGGGGUCGUGGGGUAUUUAUAGGAAACACCAGCCAAUCAGCUUCAGGUUGGUGGCAGCCCGUGUGUCGCUCCGCAUGGCUCCGGACGCAUGCACGGCGACACCUCGUGCUCCACAUGGCUGGCUGCAUGUCCAGGACACAUGCAGGACGCCACCACUCCUCCCAGAUGUAAGGUUGCAUGACUGGAGCUCAUGCAAGGCGCCACACAUCCUCACACAUGUCGAUCAGCAUGCUUCGAUUGCAUGCGUCGCGACAUCUCGUGCUUGGCCGAUCCACCUCGUGCUCCACAUGGCUGGCUGCAUGUCCAGGACACAUGCAGGACGCCACCACUCCUCCCAGAUGUCAGGCUGCAUGACUGGAACUCAUGCAAGGCGCCACAGCAUCACACACAUGGCUGGCUGCAUGCUUCGGUUGCAUGCGCGGAAACACCUCGUGCUUGGUCGAUCCACCUCGUGCUUCUACAUGUCAAGCUGCAUGUGCAGCUUCCAUGCAUGGCGACACCUCGAGCUUCUGUAGACACUCAGCUUGCUGGAUGGUUGACACCACGUUCUGAACCCAUGCAACAAGCCACCUCGACCUUCUCGGUCUAUUCGCCUGAUUUCGAUCAUUCCGGUGAAUAUUCGUCCCGCGAUCAAUCCCAAAUAUUUUUCUACAGCCUCUCUUAUGUGCAGAACAAUUUUAAUAAACUCCACUUGAUCUCUGAAGUUGAGGGGAAAUAUGUCCUGAGCCUCCGGCUUCCUCGAAAAAUUUCAUAAUACCGAAAUUAGGGUUUUCGUCCAAUUUCGGGUUUUCCCGUCGUGCUUCAAUCCCGUCGGGCUUUCUUCCCGUCGUGCUUACUUCCCGUCCUGCUUAAUUUCCAUCAUGUUUCCAAUGUCUUCGAAAUAAUAUUCCGCUGAUACGAAGUUUUGCAGAAAACUUCGUGGUGAAGAAACGUCAUUCUUCCCAAACGUCGAGCUUCUAAACCGUCGUGCUUCCAAAAAUGUUAUGCUUCCAAAACGUCCAUCUCAUCAAUCUAAGGCAUCUUCUAACUAUGGUCGACCAACUUAUUCGACNNNNNNNNNNNNNNNNNNNNNNNNNNNNNNNNNNNNNNNNNNNNNNNNNNNNNNNNNNNNNNNNNNNNNNNNNNNNNNNNNNNNNNNNNNNNNNNNNNNNNNNNNNNNNNNNNNNNNNNNNNNNNNNNNNNNNNNNNNNNNNNNNNNNNNNNNNNNNNNNNNNNNNNNNNNNNNNNNNNNNNNNNNNNNNNNNNNNNNNNNNNNNNNNNNNNNNNNNNNNNNNNNNNNNNNNNNNNNNNNNNNNNNNNNNNNNNNNNNNNNNNNNNNNNNNNNNNNNNNNNNNNNNNNNNNNNNNNNNNNNNNNNNNNNNNNNNNNNNNNNNNNNNNNNNNNNNNNNNNNNNNNNNNNNNNNNNNNNNNNNNNNNNNNNNNNNNNNNNNNNNNNNNNNNNNNNNNNNNNNNNNNNNNNNNNNNNNNNNNNNNNNNNNNNNNNNNNNNNNNNNNNNNNNNNNNNNNNNNNNNNNNNNNNNNNNNNNNNNNNNNNNNNNNNNNNNNNNNNNNNNNNNNNNNNNNNNNNNNNNNNNNNNNNNNNNNNNNNNNNNNNNNNNNNNNNNNNNNNNNNNNNNNNNNNNNNNNNNNNNNNNNNNNNNNNNNNNNNNNNNNNNNNNNNNNNNNNNNNNNNNNNNNNNNNNNNNNNNNNNNNNNNNNNNNNNNNNNNNNNNNNNNNNNNNNNNNNNNNNNNNNNNNNNNNNNNNNNNNNNNNNNNNNNNNNNNNNNNNNNNNNNNNNNNNNNNNNNNNNNNNNNNNNNNNNNNNNNNNNNNNNNNNNNNNNNNNNNNNNNNNNNNNNNNNNNNNNNNNNNNNNNNNNNNNNNNNNNNNNNNNNNNNNNNNNNNNNNNNNNNNNNNNNNNNNNNNNNNNNNNNNNNNNNNNNNNNNNNNNNNNNNNNNNNNNNNNNNNNNNNNNNNNNNNNNNNNNNNNNNNNNNNNNNNNNNNNNNNNNNNNNNNNNNNNNNNNNNNNNNNNNNNNNNNNNNNNNNNNNNNNNNNNNNNNNNNNNNNNNNNNNNNNNNNNNNNNNNNNNNNNGACUCAGCACGCUGGCCCUUCGUGUGGAUUGUUUGGGUGAUUUUGGCCUACGUAGCCUGUCUGUUCAGUACACACAGGACGUCCUUGGGUGUCCGUCAGCACACACAGGACGUCCGUGUGUGUCCAUCAGCAUGGACUCAGCACGCUGGCCCUUCGUGUGGAUUGUUCGGGUGAUUUUGGCCUACGUAGCCUGUCUGUUCAGUACACACAGGACGUCCUUUGGUGUCCGUCAGCACACACAGGACGUCCGUGUGUGUCCAUCAGCACACACAGGACGUCUGUGGUUGUCCGUGUGUGUCCGUCUCUGUCUGUCAGCACACACAGGACGUCAGUGGCAGUCCAUCAGUACACAUAUGAGCACGUUGGUCCUUGGAAUCAGCACGCUGGCCCUUCCCGUGGACAUUCUGGGUGAUUUUAGCGUGUCUGUCAGCACACACAGAACACAUUGGUCCUUGGAAUCAGCACGCUGGCCCUUCCCGUGGACAUUUCGGGUGAUUUUGGCCCACGUGGGUUGUCUAUUCCGUACACACAGGACGUCUGUGGGUGUCCGCCAACACAUACAGGACGUCCGUGGCUGUCUGUGGCUGUCUAUCAGCACACAGAGGACGUCCGUGGCAGUCUGUGGCUGUCCAUCAGUACAAUCAGGAUGUCCGUGGCUGUCUGUGGCUGUUCGUCAGCACACACAGAACGUCUGUGGCUGUCUGUGUGUGUCCGUGUGUGUCCGUCAGCACACACAGGACGUCCGUGGCUGUCCAUCAGUACACAUAUGAGCACGUUGGUUCUUGGAAUCAGCACGCUGGCCCUUCCCGUGGACAUUCUGGGUGAUUUUAGCCCACGUGGGUUGUCUAUUCAGUACACACAGGUUGUCCGUGGGUUUCCGCCAAGACACACAGGACGUCCGUGGCUGUCUGUGGCUGUCUAUCAGCACACAGAGGACGUCUGUGGCAGUCCAUGGCUGUCCAUCAGCACACACAUGAUGUCCGUGGCUGUCUAUGGCUGUUUGUCAGCACACACAGGACGUCAUGGCUGUCCAUCAGCACACACAGGAUGUCCGUGGCUGUCUAUGGCUGUUUGUCAGCACACACAGGACGUCUAUGGCUGUUUGUGUGUGUCCGUGUGUGUCCGUCAGAACACACAGGAUGUCCGUGGCUGUCCAUCAGUACACAUAUCAGCACGCUGGUCCUGGGACUCAGCACGCUGGACCUUCCCGUGGACUGUUCGGCUACUGUUGGCCCACGUGGGAUGUUUGUUCAGUACACACAGGACGUCCAUGGGUGUCCGUCAGCACACACAUGACGUCCGUGGCUGUCCGUGUGUGUCCGUCAGCACACACAGGACGGUCGUGGCUGUCCAUCUGAACAUAUCAGCACGCUGGUCCUUGGACUCAGCACGCUGGCCCUUCCCGUGGACUGUUCGGGUGAUUUUGGCCCACGUGGGCUGUCUGUUCAGUACACACAGGACAUCCGUGGGUGUCCGUCAGCACACACAUGACGUCUGUGGCUCUCCGUGUGUGUCCUUCAGCACACACAGGACGUCUGUGGCUGUCCGUGUGUGUCCAUGUGUGUCCAUCAGCACACACAGGACGUCCGUGGCUGUCCAUCAGUACACAUAUCAGCACGCUGGCCCUUGGACUCAGCACGCUGGCCCUUCCCGUGGACUGUUUGGGUGAUUUUGGCACACGUGGACUGUCUGUUCAGUACACACAGGCCGUCUGUGGGUGUCCACCAGCAUACACAGGACGUCCGUGGCUCUCUGUGGCUGUCCGUCAGCACAGACAGGACGUCCGUGGCUGUCCGUGUGUGUCCGUCAGCACACACAGGACGUCUGUGGCUGUCCAUCAGUACACAUAUCAGCACGUUGGUCCAUGGUCUCCGCACGCUGACCCUUCCCGUGGACAUUUUAGGUGAUUUUGGCCCACGUGGGCUGUCUGUUCAGUACACACAGGACGUCUGUGGGUGUCCGCCAGAACACACAGGACGUCCGUGGCUGUCCGUGACUGUUCGGGUGAUUUUGGCCCAUGUGGGCUGUCUGUUCAGUACACACAGGACAGCCGUGGGUGUCCGCCAGCACACACAGGACGUCCGUGACUGUCCGUGUGUGUCCGUCUGUGUCCAUCUGUGUCCGUUAGCACACACAACACGUCCGUGGGUGUCCAUCAGUACAUAUAUCAGCACGUUGGUCCUUGGACUCAGCACGCUGGCCCUUCCUGUGGAUUGUUCGGGUGAUUUUGGCCUACAUGGCCUGUCUGUUCAGUACACGUCCUCCACAUGUCUGGCCGCAUGGCCCGGUCGCAUGCAUCGCGACACCUCGUGCUUGGCCGUUCCACCUCGUGCUCCACAUGGCUGGCUGCAUGCCUCAGUUUCAUGCAGGAUGACACACCCACGUCCAGAUGGCCUGCUGCAUGACUGAAGUGCAUGCAGGUCGACACCCCAUCUCACACAUGGCUGGCCGCAUGCUUCGGUCGCAUGGAUCGCAACACCUCGUGCUCCACAUGUCUACUUGCAUGUACAGGUUGCAUGUACUGCAACACCUCCUGCUUCCCUUGACACACACACUGUCAAGAGACUGCCACCACGUCCUGAACACAUACACAUCAAGCCACCUCGAGCUUCUCGGUCGAUUCGGCCGAUUUCGGCCUUUCCGGUGAAUUUUCGUCCCGCGAUCAAUCCUAAAUAUUUUUCUACGCCCGUUCUGAUGGCCUGAAUAUUUUUAAUAAACCCUACUGGGACUCUGAUCUUGAGGAAAAAUAUUUACCGAGCUUUCGGCUUCUUCAAAAAAUUUCGUAAUACCGAUAUUUUGGGUUUUUCGCCCAAUUUCCGGUCUUCCUGUUGUGCUUCCUAAAGUGUCUUUCUUCAAACAUCAUUUGAAUCAAUCUACUACAUUGUCUGACCAUUGUCUAGUGGCAUACUUGACUCAUGGUUCAGACAAGAACAAUCUGAUUGUCCGCGACUCGACCACCCAAAGGAUACUCGACCAUUCUUAUUUUUUUUUAAGGGUUUCUACAUUCUCCCCCCGUUAACAGAAUUCGUCCUCGAAUUCUAAGGCUCUGAGGGGCCUCCUUCUUCCAUUACAACGUCCUCUCAGAAAAACUCUGGGUGAUCGGUUUUAAAUCUCGCUUCAUCUUCCCAAGUAACAUGAAUCAUGUUUUGUCUUCCCCAAAUACUUGUACUUCAGAAAUCUCACGAUUUUUGAGCUUCCGAAAACGCCGAUCUCCUAAUAUGAUUGGUCCUUCAGGAUACGUAAGGUUUGUCUACAACUCCUCGAUUCUCUUGGGCUUAACAGCACUUGGAUCCCGUAUAUGUUUCCGAAGCAUGGAAACAUGGAAUACUGGAUGUAGAUGCAUAUCUGCUGGCAGAUCCAAUCGGUAAGCUACCUCACCAACUUUACCGAUGAUCUUGUACGGACCAAUGAAUCUGACCGCAAGUUUCCCAACCUUGCCAAAUAUGUCCUUCUCUUUUUGGGCUGUAACCUUCAAGUUAACCCAAUCUCCUAUCUCGAAAGUUACCUCUCUUCUUGACUGUCUGCGUACUUCUUCUUACGGUCCUGAGCCUUCUUCAUGUUGGCCUGAAUCGUUUCCAGUUUAAUCAUGGUCUCCUGAACAAUAGGUGACCCCAACAUUCUUCUUUCGCCCACUUCCGUCCAACACAUAGGCGUCUUGCAUGUCCUUCCGUAUAACGCUUCAUAAGGUGACAUCCCUAUGCUCGAAUGAUGACUGUUGUUAUACGAGAACUCAACCAACGGUAAAUGCUUCUCCCAAGUUCGUGCCCAAUCAAGAAUACACAUCCGCAGAAUGUCCUCGAUGGUCCGAAUGGUCAUUUCCGUUUGGCCAUCUGUUUCGGGAUGGAACGCCGUGCUUCUGUACAGUUUAGUUCCCAAGGCUUCUUGCAGUGCUUCCCAGAAUGAUGCAGUGAACCUUGGAUCGCGAUCUGAGACGAUGUCUGAGGGUACACCAUGUAACUUCACGAUUUGGUCGAUGUACAGCUCGGCAAAAACUUUAACUUUAUCAGUGUCCCGCAUAGGCAACAAGUGUGUAACCUUUGUUAACCUAUCCACAAUCACCCAUAUCGAGUUGUUCGAUCUACCUGGAGCAGUGGGUAAUCCGGUAAUGAAAUCCAUGGAAAUCGAGUCCCAUUUCCUGAGGUAUCAGAAGACUUUGUAACAAUCGUCCUGGUACUUGAUGCUAGGCCUUGACUUGUUGACAAGUUGCACACUGAGCAACCCAUUGUGCUACUGACCUCUUCAUGCCCGGCCAAUAAUAGUAUCUCCUCACGUCUCGGUACAUCUUCGAACUUCCAGGAUGGAUACUAAGUAAAGAAUGAUGUGCGAUCCUUAGUAUCUCAUCUCUCAGCCCUUGUCCUUUAGGAACCGUGAUCCUUCCAUUGAUUAGAAAAGUUCCAUCCUUCACCAAGUAGUAUCCAGCAUUAUUUGGCCAGGCUUGCCCAUUGAGUUCUUCAGUAAUCUUCAGUAACUUCUCAUCCUUAAGUUGUUCUUCUCGAAUUCUCUGAAUCAAGCUGGCCUGAUUCACCGCUUGAAGUCGCAAUGCCUCGCUUGUCUGCCCUUCCAAAACGACCAACUUCACUUGUUUCAACUCCUGGUUCAACAGCUCCACUUCUUUCUCUAAAUCUGCGUCCAACUUUCUUCGAUUUAAGGCGUCCGCAACAACAUUCGCUUUACCUGGAUGGUAGCGAAUCCGUAUGUUGUAGUCUGCCAAAAACUCUAUCCACCUACGCUGGCGCAGGUUGAGAUCUGGCUGAGUGAAGAGGUAUUUAAGACUUUGAUGGUCCGUGUAUACCUCCACUUCUUCUCCAUAUAAGUAAGAUCUCCAACUUCGCAAAUUGAACACCACGGCCGCUAACUCCAAGUCAUGUGUACUGUAGUUAUCCUCAUGCUUCCGUAGUUGUCGUGAGGCAUACGCGACGACUCGCCCAUCUUGCAUAAGAACACAACCUAACCCAACUCGUGAAGCAUCCCUGUAAACCGUGUAAGGUUUACCUUGCUCGGGCAAAGCUAACACAAGUGCGGUCGUGAGAGCUUCCUUCAAUUUCUUGAAUGCCUUCUCGGUUUCUUCCACCCAUAAGAAAGGAACUCCUUUACCGGUAAGUUUAGUUAAAGGCUUUGCAAUGGAGGAAAAGUCCUUAACAAUCUUCCGAUAAUAGCCCGCAAGUCCGAGAAAACUCCUCACUUCUGUCAAAGUGGUAGGUCGAGACCAUUCUUGUAUGGCUUGGACCUUUUCUGGAUCAGCAGCCACGCCCUCUCCUGAUACUAUGUGACCAAGAAAUCCUAUCUUUCUCUUCCAAAACGAGCACUUGCUGAACUUGGCAAAUAGCUUCUGAUUACGUAACCUCUCCAUAACCAGUCGCAGAUGCUCUUUGUGCUCUUCCUUACUUCUCGAGUACACCAGGAUGUCAUCAGUGAAAAUGAUCACGAACUUGUCGAGAUAGUCGUGAAACACUUCAUUAAUCAAACACAUGAAAGCCACAGGUUCAUUUGUGAGACCAAAGGGCGUAACUACAAACUCGUACUGCCCAUACCUCGUUCAAACGCCGUCUUCAUAAUGUCUGACUUGGCAAUAGGAAUUUGAUGAUACCCUGAUGCCAAAUCAAUCUUCGAAAACCAACUAGCUCCCUUUAGUUGGUCUAACAACUCGUCUAUCCUUGGAAGAGGAUACUUAUCUUUUAUCAUGAUGUUGUUGAUGCCACGAUAAUCGAUACACAGCCUCAUGCUUCCGUCCUUCUUCUUCACAAAUAACACAGGAGCUCCCCAAGGUGAAGAGCUCGAUCGGAUGAAUCGCUUUUCCAAUAAAUCUUCCAACUGUUUCUUUAGCUCGGCCAACUCCGCAGGUGCCAUCCGAUAUGGUGCCUUAGCUAUAGGUUUUGCUUCAGGCUCCAAAGUAAUGGUAAAGGGAUUACUCCGAUGUGGAGGUAAUUCCUUUAGUGGUGCAAAGAUAUCCUCAAACUCUUGGACCACUUCUAUGUCUUCGACCUUAACUUCAUCAUUAAUGGCUCCUCCACUAACCGAUAAGGUCACCAAAUAUACUUCCCCGUCUUGAAACAAAUCUUGUACUCUCAUCGCUGCUACCAAAGACACGGUCAUACUAGGACUGAUUCCAUAGUAUGCCAUCUCUGGUCAUUUACCUCUGCCGAACAACAACCUUCCCUUUCCACAGUUGAUUUGAACUCCGUAGCUCGAUAACCAAUCCACUCAAAGGAUUACCUCGUACCCUUUCAAAGGCACGACUAAUAGAUCUGCCACAAACUCUUUGCCUUGAAUGACCAAUGGAACAUUCUUGAUAAACUGAUUUUCUUGAAGGUUUCGGUCUGCGGGGGUCAAGACGGCCACAUCUAUUCUGUCAACCAAAAAACAAUCCCAAAACCGGGCAGCUACUUCAGAGGUCACAAAACUAUGUGUUGCCCCCGAGUCGAACAAUACAUGUGUGGGUUUACCAGCAACAUGUAUGGUUCCUGCUGCAGUAACCCAAUCAACAAUAUCUCAAUCACAAAUACUAAUCAAAAUUCUCACAACCAUCAAUCAUCAUCCUAAAUUUCUAAACGUGCAACCUAGCGAUCAAGCAAUCUAUACCUAACCAGUAUACUAACUAGAUUCCAGCAACUAAAUUUCCAUUCAAUAAAAAGAGGAGGUUAAGCACCCACAAUACCUGUGAUGGGACCGCUUGACGGUCCUGCAUUGUCUGGGUUUUCUACACCUAAGGCAUAAACUCUACCUCCUAGAUUUUUCUUCUUUGGUGCUGGCUCAAUAGCUGGACGGCUAGGAGGAGCUCGGAUUGCGAGAGGGGUCGCAUGGAUUGGCUUGUUUGGACAUGACGAUGCAUAGUGGCGCUUCCUUCCACAGAAGAAACAAGUAACAUCUUCCUUCCUCAGCGAUGAAUAACCUUGCUGGUUACUCCGUUGUCUGUUGGGACAUAACUUAGAAAUGUGUCCCGGUUGAUCACAUAUGUAACACACCACAGUGUUACCACGAUUGUUGGCUUGGCCUCCAAAGCCUCGCCCUUUGCCUUUGUAAGAUCUUGGACCCUUGUUGAAAUUUGGCCUUUCUCCUUGGCUAAACUUGGUGUGUCCACCAGAAUGUGGUAAGGUCUUCCUUUCAGCCUCCAAUACAGUCUCAACAUUAACAGCCUUUUCCACCAGAUCCGAUAAGCUGCUAAAGUUUCUUCCAGCUAAACGACUUCCAAGCUCCGGCUUCAAUCCGUACAUAAAGUUACGGAUCAUAGUUACUUCAUCUUCACGCCCAUCAAAGACAUGUCGCCUCAACCUUGUGAAUUACGACUCAUAACUCCUUACGGGCCUAUCUCCUUGAACAAGGUUCAUGAACUGGUGCUCCAAUCGAUGCUUUGCUUCUGGAGGAAAAUACUUCCUCUCAAACUCUCCCUUGAACGACUCCCACGAUGUGAUGGUGUGUCCAUGCUGCCUGUCUAUGCUGUCCCACCAUCCUGUGGCGUCACCUUCCAAGUAGUACACAUUGAUCUUCUUCUUGUACUCCUCCGGGCACUCCAUGGAUUCAAAAUUCUUCUCCAUCAUAGUAAUCCACUUGUCGGGCUCAAUAGGAUCGGAUCCUCCUUUGAACUUGUAGGAUCCAAUGUUCUUCAUGGUAGAUAAUAGCUUGGAAACUUUAGGGGUUGAGUACGCCUGCCUUGGUUACCAAGUGCCUCGGUCAUCACGUCAUGUAAAAGCUUCAGGGUGUUUUCGGUUCCAUGAUCUUGUGGUCUUUCGGUGGCAUGGUUUUGAUCUGUCCUUGGGUUUGGUUGGACGGAUUGAUCAUCUUGAUGUCUCUGGUGCCAAAUACGACUUCGACUAAUGCUCGCCAUACUGUCUUCUCUCACUCUAGUCCUGUUACCGUAACCAGGAAAAUAUCUUGUUCUCUGCAGAGGGCUCCUAUCGUGUCCAAACAUCUCACUAAUGCUAUUUCCAUUAUCCUGAUCUGAUCUGUAACCCAAUCCUCCGCCUUUUCAAUCCAUACCCUCUCCCCAUAUCCGACCUCGUCCAUCAUCACCUGUCCCGCGAUUAGCCAUCUGCACACAAUCAAAAGGGUAAGUCAUAAUCUUACUAUGGGAAGCAGCUGGUUUCCUAAUCAUCUUUUUGCGACUCCUUUGACUCGAUAAAACCGUUAAAAGCACUUGUGUCAUGCAUGGACGAAACCAUGCUCUGAUACCACCUCUAUAACACCCCCGAACCGUUUUAGGCAUAGGUCGAACCACCGGCCAAGAAUCAAACAAGAACAUGACCGACGGCCCGACCGUCUACCAAGGUUCAGGAGCGCUACAUGACGGGUUAAAGGGCAAUCCAGCCAAAGUAACAAAAUGUGCAAUUCGUAACUUGGCCAGGCCGCCCACUAACGCGUCCCGUCAAACCAAAGCCUAAGGCUUCUCAACCCGUACUCCAAUCUGACGUUGUGUUAGCUCGGACAAGCUAAUAUCAGAACAACAAGGCAUUUGCACAAAACAUUCGCUUUAUUUAUCUUAUAAAAUAUCUGGUUUACAAUACACAAAAUAUUAUACAAAUGGUGGCAUGCCAAGAAAGCGAAAGUACAUACUUAUAGUCUGAAAGCGUCUUAACCAAAAAGAUGCAAAUCUACACCAGCCAGCCUAGCCUCCCGCGCCUUCUACGGGCUCACUACUGGUCACCUGAAAACAACAACGAGUGAGGAGUGAGUAAUCUAGCAUUACUCAGCGAGUUACAAUCCCCAACUAACAAAUACAACCCCUCGCUAUCCCACCCCAAACAAUCUAAAGCGAGAGGUUCACCUAACAACACAAUUCAAUAAUAAUAAGCAAUAUGUGAAAUACGCAGCGGUAAAUGAUAGCAAGAUAACUAGCAUUAUGCUAAUUACUAGCUCAUCACCAAACUCAAACUCUUUUUAAACCAGGGUUUAAACAACCCAAACACGAUAUAAUAUAUAACAAACUCGGGCCCUGGUGAUGUUAUGUUCCUCCUGCACUAUCAGCAAUAUCCUAUCUGCCUACCACAAAGGCCAGAAGAAGAAACUUUCAACCGACCACGGCCCACAGUCUUUCGGGUCACCGCACGACAGCCCACAGUCCUUCGGGUCACUGCCACAUUACACCGUCGUGUAAUACUCAGCCAUAGGACAUGACCCCGUUCGUCUGAGUCUUCCCGAUCCAGCGAAUAAGGGGUUUCCUUGAACCCGCUGGGUACGAGGUCUGAAGGAACACUAACUCACCCCAAUAUGCCUAGCAUUGUGGGUUACACAAAUGCUAUCGGCCAAUAUACGAUUAAUACUAAACCCGGUAAAAAUAACACAAGGUUUCAAGUAAUAAUCACAACACAAUCAACCACAUUCUAGAAUCUAGCAUAAAGACUAAUUCCAGAAUACCUAACUAUCCACAACUUAGCGAUAUCAUCUAAGAAUUCUGCAUUCGCUAACUAACCAAUCAACCUAACCAUUAGCAUGCUACUACGGUUCUCAAGCAAUGACAAGCAUGCUAUCAACUCAAUCAACAUAAUCUCAACUAUUAACUAAUCAAACCGUUACUCAGUUAGACCUGGCCUCUUACCAUAAUCCAACUUCCAAGUAACGGGAACCUGCAUGAAAACAACUCAGCAAUCAAUUGAUCAUAACUCACAGUUUUUGGUUGACCGUGGCCUUGACCCCAAACCCGACAUCUGCGAUCCGACCUUCACAAGUCGACCCACUUGACUGAUCUUCACUUGAACUGGUCUCCACUAGAACUGAUCUCGCUGCACUUAAAAAGAACCUUCUCCAAGUGCUGACUCAAAAUCGGCAGAGUAACUGUUCUCGAAAACCGCCUAGAAUGCUUGAAAACUAUCGAAACUCGAUCUUUCUUUCUUUGCUUUCUCUUUAUGUUUUGAAGUAGGUUUGAUGUGUUAUGGAUAGGUUGAAAUGAGAGGGGGUCGUGGCCUAUUUAUAGAAUCAGCAACCAAUCAGGAACAAGCUGUGUGGCAGCCCGUGUGUCGCUUCGCAUGGCUCCGGACGCAUGCGCGGCGGCACCUUGUGCUUCACUUGUCUUUCAGCAUGGCCUUUUCACAUGCAAGGUGACACCACGCCCUCUACCUGUCUGGAUGCAUGGCCUGCACACAUGCAAGCUGACACCAGGUCCUCCACAUGUCUGGCAGCAUGGCCCGGUCGCAUGCAUCGCGACACCUCGUUCUUGGCCGUUCUACCUCGUGCUCCACAUGGCUAGCUGCAUGCCUCAGUAUCAUGCAGAAUGACACACCCACGUCCAGAUGGCCUGUUGGAUGACUGCAGUGCAUGCAGGUCGACACCCCAUCUCACACAUGGCUGGCCCCAUGCUUCGGUCGCAUGCAUCGCAACACCUCGUGCUUGGCCGUUCCACCUCGUGCUCCACAUGUCUACUUGCAUGUACAGGUUGCAUGUACUGCAACAUAUCCUGCUUCCCUGGACACACACACUGUCAAGAGCCUGCCACCACGUCCUGAACACAUACACAUCAAGCCACCUCGAGCUUCUCAGUCGAUUCAGCCGAUUUCGGCCUUUCUGAUGAAUUUUCGUCCCGCGAUCAAUCCCAAAUAUUUUUCUACGCCCGUUCUGAUGGCCUGAGUAUUUUUAAUAAACCCUACUGGGACUCUGAUCUAGAGGAAAAAUAUUUACCGAGCUUUCGGUUUCUUUGAAAAAUUUUGUAAUACUGAAAUUUAGGGUUUUUCGCCCGAUUUCCGGUCUUCCUGUUGUGCUUCCUAAAGUGUCUUGCUUCAAACAUCAUUUGAAUCAAUAUACUACAUUGUCUGACCAUUUUCAAGUGGCAUACUUGACUCAUGGUUCAGACAAGAACAAUCUGAUUGUCCGCGACUCGAGCACCCAAAGGAUACUCAACCAUUCUUAUUAUUUUUUUUAAGGGUUUCUACAUGGGCUGUCCGUUCAGUACACACAGGACGUCCGUGUGUGUCCGUCAGCACACACAGUACGUCCGUGGCUGUCCGUGUGUGUUCGUCAGCACACACAGAACGUCUGUGGCUGUCCAUCAGUACACAUAUCAGCACACUGGUCCUUGGACUCAGCACGCAGGCCCUUCCCGUGGACUGUUUGGGUGAUUUUGGCCCACGUGGGCUGUCUGUGCAGUACACACAGGAAGUCCGUGGCUGUCCGCCAGCACACACAGGACGUCCGUGGCUGUCCGUCAGCACACACAGGACGUCUAUGGCUGUCCGUGUGUGUCCAUGUGUGUCCGUGUGUGUCCGUCAGCACACACAGGACAUCCGUGGCUGUCCAUCAGUACACAUAUCAGCACGCUGGUCGUUGGACUUAGCACUCUGGCCCUUCCCGUGGACUGUUCGGGUGAUUUUGGCCCACAUGGGUUGUCUGUUCAGUACACACAGGACGUCCGUGGGUGUCUGUCAGCACACACAGGACAUUCGUGGGUGUCCGUCAGCACACACAGGACGUCCGUGGGUGUCCGUCAGCACACACAGGACGUCUGUGGCUGUCCGUGUGUGUCCAUUUGUGUUCGUCAGCACACAGAGGACGUCUGUGGCUGUCCAUCAGUAUACAUAUCAGCACGUUGGUCCUUGGACUCAGCACGCUGGCCCUUCCCGUGGACUGUUCGGGUGAUUUUGGCCCACGUGGGCUGUCUGUUCAGUACACAUAGGACAUCCGUGGAUGUCCGUCAGCACACACAAGACGUCCGUGUGUGUCCGUCAGCACACACAGGACCUCCGUGGCUGUCCGUGUGUGUCGGUGUGUGUCCGUCAGCACACACACGACGUCCGUGGCUGUUUAUCAGUACACAUAUCAGCACGUUGGUCUUUGGACUCAGCACACUGACCCUUCCCGUGGACUGUUCGGGUGAUUUUGGCCCACGUGGGCUGUCUGUUCAGUACACACAGGACGUCCGUGGGUGUCCCUCAGCACACACAGGACAUCCAUGUGUGUCCGUCAACACACACAUGACGUCCGUGGCUGUCCGUGUGUGUCCGGCAGCACACACAGGACGUCCGUGGCUUUCCAUCAGUACAGAUAUCAGCACGUUGGUCCUUGCACUCAGCAUGCUGCCCCUUCCUGUGGACUGUUUGGGUGAUUUUGGCCCACGUGGGCUGUCUGUUCAGUACACACAGGACGUCUGUGGGUGUCCAUCAUCACACACAGGACAUCCGUGUGUGUCCGUCAACACACACAGGACGUCCGUGGCUGUCCGUGUGUGUCCGUGUGUGUCCUUCAGCACACACAGGACGUCUGUGGCUUUGCAUCAGUACACAUGUCAGCACGUCGUUCGUUGGACUCAGCAUGCUGACCCUUCCCGUGGACUGUUCGGGUGAUUUUGGCCCACGUGGGCUGCCUGUUCAGUACACACAGAACGUCCGUGGGUGCCCGCCAGCACACACAUGACGUCUGUGGCUCUCCAUCAGUACACAUAUCAGCACGUUGGUUCUUGGACUCAGCACGUUGGUCCUUGGACUCAGCACGUUGGUCCUUGGACUCAGCACGUUGGUCCUUGGAGUCAGCACGCUGGCCCUUCCCAUGGACUGUUUGGGUGAUUUUGGUCAACGUGGGCUGUCUGUUCAGUACACACAGGACGUCCGUGGGUGUCCGCCAGCACACACAGGACGUCUGUGGCUGUCCGUGUGUGUCCGUGUGUGUAACGCCCGAAUCCGGCCUCUCACUAACCGAGCAUUCACGGCUCCUUGGCUUGACCAAAACCAUCCUUAGUUCCUGAAACCACAACCAGAUAAGCAUUAAUCAUAACCGAGAAUAGAAUUGGUCGAUUCUACAAUGCUUGGCUUGGUUCCUAUAACACAGAUAAACCUCGGAAAAUAUACUUAUAAAAAGAUAUUAACCUUCCUACCAAAUCCCAAGUCAUUCAACCAACCACCCGUUGACAGUCUAGAAUAGAUAAACAUAACACACGAACAGUCCGGAUCGUCCUCAAGACCAAUCCAUCCAUCCGAAUAGAAUCUAGGUGUGACCGGCCUAGUUGAAGUCCAGCUCAAUGGCCCAACGGACUUCCUUACCUGAUCCCGCCUUGGGCCUGGAUCCAAAGGCCGAGUAAGCCUCACGCCCAAUCCGGUUAGGCCGAUCGGACCUUGCGACUCUUACCCUGGCUUAGACGAACUGUGUACUUGUCCCAACGGACAAUACAUGGUCUGAUCCCUUAAGGAACGGACACGACCUGUCUCAACAGGCACCGUUUGGAACAUGUACCCCUUCGGUCCUUGGUACCUCUUGGUCCUCGUACCUCGUACCCCUUCGGUCCUUGGUACCUCUUGGUCCUCGGUACAUCCUUUGGCAACUCACAACCUUUGGAACUCGUGACCUUUGGUAACUCACAACCCUUGGUAACUCGUGACCUUUGGCCACUCGUGCCUCUUGGGACAUGACCAACCGUUUAGCCCAACCGCCCAGUCUAUGGUGCGAUUCGAACCGACCAGCGUCUAGGUUAGCGGUUUGGUUAUGACCGGCCAAGUCUAGGGACGUGUCCCUUGGACUGAACCAAUACAACCCUUCGUGUAUAAUCAGAAAGAAGAGAAAGAACCGGAUAGAAACAAGAAGAGGAGAAGCGGUUGGGUCAAAUGAACCGACCAGAGCUGCGUUGCGAUCACAAAGACCGUCUGUUCGGUCUGAUGCGGCCAUAGCCCACCACGUAUGUAAUAACCCUCACGAGCAGAUAUAAUUUUUGUCGAGAAAAUUCUUUAAGAUCAGUUUGAAGAUUGAUCGAUCAGAAUUUAAAUAAAAAUCGACACGGUGAAUUAAUCUCUCGACGGGCUAUCUUUUGGUCGAAAAACCAUCUCUUGAUGGUUCUGGUCGAGUGUUAAAUAUUAUUGUCGAUUUUUAUUCAUGCUAGGCGAGUUUAUUCAGAGUAGGACGUGAUUCGAUUGAUGAAAAAUAUUUAGUCGAAACAGUCCGAAAAAUAUCGACAAAACUCUUAAAAUUAUUUCAAAACAGUCACAUGCCUUGCACCUUCUAGCCUACUUGCUUUCUCAGUAAUUAGGUCACAUGACAUGCACCUACUUGCUUACCUUCUUGCUCAUUAGAAGUCACAUGCUGGUCACAAGCUGUUUGCUUCAGCUGCUUGCAGCUUUCUUCUUGUAAGGGAAAGGUGAGCUGCUUGUGCUGAAGCUGGUUGCCACAUGUUUCUCCAAACUACCACUUUGUGUAAAGAGAAAACCCUGAGCUGAAGCAACCCCAUAUGGUAUAAAACAUCUUCUUCUCUCCUCUGGACGUCCUGUUACUGCAAAAAAAACCAGAGAAAAUUCAAAGAGAAAGAGAAAAAGAAAAGAGAAAAAUCUGUGAGAAAAAUUAAUUGAGAAAUUGAGAAAAAAAAUCAGGGAAGAGAAGUGAGCUUGGACGACCCUUUCUCACCAUCCUGUGACUUUAAUCAGUGUGUUCUGGUGUGGUUAAGAGCUGAAGGUUUGGUGUUCAAGAGUUUAGAAUCACCCAAGUUCCUUAGCCUUGGAUUUUAUCGGUUAGAUGUGUGUUCAGAUUGAAGUUUAUAUCAACCAAGUUCAUCUUAAAGCUUGAGGAAAUCGGAGUGAAAUGGAGUGUUAUUAGUUGAGCUCGAGUCUAGUCUUCCCUAGCCAAUCUCAUGGAAUCAAAGGUGAGUCUAGAUAGAUGAUUUAUGAGUAGUGAAUGAAUAUUUCUGACAGAACGUACUGAUUGUUAGAUGAUUGAUGAGUAGUGAAUGAAUAUUUCUUGAUUGAACGUACCGAUUGUAGAUGAUUGAUAGGCUUUGUCUCUUGAUCAAUAUUGAAUUGGUAAGGUGUUUACUUAGUGUAAACACUUAUUAAAUAUUUAUGAAUGAUCAUAGAGGUUUAUUCCAAACCUUAGUACUUGUUCUCAAGUACUAAUACAUAUGUCUAGUAUUAAAUAUAAUUAAGUAUUGAAGUAUUAAUCAUGUCAAGUCUUAUUAUAAACAUGUCUUCCAAAAUAUUCCCGUAUGAAUGAUGAUUGCCGUGAAUUGGUCCUGCGAUAUGGAGCAAGUUCACGAAGACACGAUGAUGGCACCCUGGAGGUCGUGUAACUGCAUGCAGCGUUAGAUGUUUAAUUUUAGAAUAUCUGAUGGCGAUGAUGGUGAUGCUAACUCGCUAGACUCGUUUAGCCUUUGUGGUUUCUCGGGUCUGGUAUAUAUAUAUAUAUAUAUAAAUAUGAUUAUAUGAAUGAUAUGAGAGACGGGAAUAGGAAGUGAGGUAUAUGAUUAGAUUCACAAUGAUGGAAGGAUAGUCCUUAUAUAUAAAUAUCUAGAUAUGGAAUAUAUUUCCACUGCAUACAAAUGAAGUUGAUUGCUUGAGAUAUUAUUAAUAUAUGUUGGGGUGUGGGAUUAGACUCACUGAGCAAACUAGUUACUCAUGACUCAUUUGUGAUGCAGGUAACCAGUAGAUGGGAGACCUUACUCUAGGAUGGGAAGGAACAUCAUUAGCCAGCGGUAGUUUUAUUAUCCUUGCAAAGUCAUUUUGAUAUAUCUUAUGUAUAAGAUUUGUAGACCGAAAACCUCAAGGUUAAUUUAUAACAAAUUUUGAAAGAUGAUUCUAAAUGAUAUAUAAAGAAUGUUUAUUUUUAAAGUAUGGGUUCCAUAUGAUAUUAGUCCUUGUCCGGACGAACUAACUAUCGGGUAUUGCUUUUUCGGGUUGAAAAGCCUAGAGUGAUAUCUGAUAGGAGCGUUGGUGUUCUUUGGUUGUUAGUCUAAGGUGAUCGGAGUUAUUCUGAGAACCUCGGAUCAACCAUCGAGGAACAUCGACGGUGUCAUUUCCGGUCAUCUACGAUCGGGGGUGUCACAAAGUACUUUCUUAACCGUGUCAGGGUUCUCCAUGUUCUUAUCCUGCUCUUGGUCUCCCAUACUUGAUCGGAGGUUGCUUCACAAACGAUCAGAUCCCGGAAACCUAACCACCACACAAACGGCCUUGUUUUGGCCAGAAACUCUCUCUCUCUUUCUUUUUGUCUCUCUAUGAUUUAUCUGAGUAUUUUUACUCUGGAUUGGAUGAAUGAAAUCGACAGAGAGGACCCCAUAUUUAUAGAAAACGAGGGGGUAAGUCUUGCCCCACGAACAGGCUUGACUUGCCAGCGGAUGGGCACAAUCAGCCAAGGGUUACACCCUCUCGGCACCGCCACCGGCCCGGACCCGGACCAUCAGACUGAAACCUGAACAGUCCGGCCAGCUGAGAUUAGCUGACUCCCAGCUGCCUCAGCUGAGUGUGCUAGUAGUUCAGCUAGUGGAGCUGACUUAGUAAUGGCCGAGCUGAAGUGAGCUUAACCUAACUCCGUUGAGCUGGCGAACUACCUGUUCCAUCCUCCUGCUACCGUCUUACUUGUCCUAGCUGACUCUCCACUUGUGUAAGGUUAAUUCUAAGUUUUCUUACGUCCUUAACCUUCUUAGCUGGCCAUGGAACGCUUGUCUUGAUGUCCUAAGACUGACUAGUACGUUUCCUCGAACCAUGGCCGUCCCAAUGAUCCUAUUCAGGAACCGGGAUGUUACAAGUCUCCCCCACUAGCAAUGGAUUCAUCCUCGAAUCCGAGUCAUGUGUUUCAUCCAACACAAACUGGCAAACCAUUUUGGAAACUUGGCCUUCAUCGUGGCCUCCAUCUCCCAAGUGGUCUCUUCUCGACCAUUACAAUCGCAAAUUACCUUGACCAUCUGGAUUGUUUUCUUUCUCAUUGCUUUUUCCAUCUUAUCUAUGAUCCAAACCGGCCUUGUUUCCAAAGUUAGAUUCGUACCUAGAUCAGAUGGUAUUUCUGGUAUUAAGACGUCCUGAUCCAUCAAGCACUUCCGGAGUUGGGAGACAUGGAAUACGUUAUGGAAGGCUUCCAUCUCGGAUGGUAAGUCCAACUUAUAUGCCACACUACCCACUCGUUCUAUGACUCUGAAUGGACCUAGGUAUCUUGGAUCUAAUUUCCUUCUACCAGAAAUUCGCACUCUACCUUUAAAGGUAAUCAUUUUGAGAUUGACCAUAUCACCCACUGCAAACUCCAAUUCUUUCCUUUGUUUGUCAGCGUAAUGUUUUUGUUUGUCUUGUGCGGCCCUCAUCUUGUCCCGCACGGACUUGAUCUUCUCCGUGGUUUCCUCCACAAUUUCGGGGCCUAUCAUGCUGCGCUCCCCUACUUGGGUCCAGCAUAACGGUGUCCUGCAUGGUCGUCCAAACAAAGCUUCAUAUGGCGACAUGCCUAUACUUGGGUGGAAACUGUUAUUGUAGGCAAACUCCACUAAUGGAAAAUGUCGUUCCCAGGAAUCGUCCCAAUCGAGGACACAUGCUCGAAGCAUAUCCUCCAGCGUCCGUAUAGUUCUUUCCGACUGCCCAUCGGUUUGGGGAUGAUAAGCCGUACUCAUGUUCACUCUAGUUCCUAAAUCUUUCUGGAAAGCUUGCCAGAAGUGAGAAGUGAACCUCGAAUCUCUAUCCAAAACUAUACUUGAGGGUACUCUGUGUAGUCUCACAAUCUCGUCAAUGUACUUACUCACAAUCCGGUUGACUCCAUCAGACUUUUUGAUGGCCAGGAAGUGGGCAGACUUGGUCAGUCGAUCCACUAUUACCCAGACAGCAUCCUUCAUAUUCCUGGUUGUGGGAAAACCUGUCACGCAGUCCAUCGUGAUGUGAUCCCACUUCCAUUCCGGAAUAGGUAGGCUCUGAAGCAGUCCACUCGGAACUUGUUGUUUGGCCUUGACGAGGUGACAAGUAGGACCCUUGGCCACCCAUUCGGCCACAUCUACCUUCAUCCGUAUCCAAUGAUAGUACUGUCUGAGAUUAUGAUACAUCUUGGUCACUCCAGGAUGGAUUGAGAAUCUAGACUUGUGAGCUUCUCUAAGGAUCUCGUCCUUUAAACUUCUAUCAUUGGGUACGCUGAUCCGACCAUGAACUAAGAUCGUACCGUCCUUGGCGAUUUGAUACUCAGUCAGGUCGUUUCGAGCAACCGUCUUCAGGUUCUCGUCCUGAUCUUGGGCCACUCGGAUCCGGGUAUGCAGGUCGGCCUUAUUCACCUCCUCUAAACCCCGUGGUCCGUCUAUCCUGUUCAGAGCAUUUAAACAGACGAAAUGUCCCGCCUGAUCCGGCUCAUCCGUUCCGCCACUGGCCGCAACAUCUUCUCGCUUCAGGUUCAAGGCGUCGGCCAUAAGGUUAGCCUUGCUCGGAUAGUAAGUGAUGUCUAGGUCGAAGUCGGUCCAUCCACCUCCUCUGCCAUAAGUUCAACUCAGGCUGGGUGAAUAUAUACUUCAGACUUUUAUGGUCCGUAAGUAUCUGGACUUUGGCCCCAUAUAAAUAUGAUCGCCAAAUCUUUAAGGCGAAUACUACCACAGCCAGUUCAAGAUAAUGGGUGGGGUAGUUUCCCUCAUGUUUCUUCAGCUGCCUUGACGCGUAAGCAAUGACCUUCCCAUGUUGAGUUAACACGCAACCGAGUCUAGUGAUGGACACAUCCGUGUAGACCACAUAAGGUUGGUCUGCCUCCGGAAGAACCAUGACGGGUGCGCUAGUCAGCAUAUCCUUAAGUGCGGAGAAACAUCUCGUAAACUCUUCGAACCAUGUGAACUUAACGUCCUUCCUAGUCAACCGUGUCAUCGGCUGAGCCAAGCUUGUGAAUCCCUUCACAAACUUUCUAUAGUAACCUGCCAGCCCUAGGAAGCUUCUAACUUCUGUGGCACCGCGUGCUCGGAGCCAAUCCUUGAUUGCCCUGAUCUUCUCUGGAUCCACUGAGACGCCCUGGUCAGAAACAAUAUGUCCGAGGAACCCAAUACUCUUUUGCCAAAAACUGCACUUGCUGAGUUUAGCAAAGAGUUUGUGCUCUCGUAAUCAUUCCAGCAUGGCUCUCAAAUGUUUCUGAUGAGAUUCCUCGUCCUUUGAAUAGAUCAGGAUAUCAUCAAUGAAGAUUAUCACCGAUUCAUCCAAGAAGUCCCGGAACAUGCUGUUCAUCAUUUUCAUGAAUUCAGCAGGUGCAUUGGUCAGACCGAACGGCAUCACUACGAACUCGUAAUGGCCGUACCUGGUCCUAACUGCUGUCUUCCUAAUGUCAUUUGGCUCUAUAGGAAUCUGAUAAUAUCCCAAGGCCAAUUCGAUUUUAGAAAACCACUUAGCUCCUUUCCACUGAUCCAACAGCUCGUCUAUCCUGGGUAACGGGUACUUGUUCUUCACAGUUACCCUGUUCAACUCUCGAUAGUCGAUGCACAGACGCAUGCUACCAUCCUUCUUUUUCACAAAGAGGACUGGUGCACCCCAUGGGGAGCUACUUGGCCGUAUGAACCCCUUGUCAAGCAAUUCUUCCAAUUGCUUCUUUAGCUCGGCCAUCUCGGCCGGAGCCAUCCGAUACGGACUCUUGGACAGCGGAGCUGUCCCGGGUUUCAGUUCAAUCAGAAAGGGAUCGGACCUAUCAGGGGGGACACCCUGUAGCGCCUGAAACACAUCCUGGAACUCGGACACCAACAAAUCCUCGCGUGGGUCUAACAGAAAACAAGAAUUGUCAGGCUCUGUAGUUGUAAUUGUAGCCAAGAAUGACUGACAACCCUGUUCCAGCAUCCAAAACGCUCGAACUGCUGAAACCACUACUUUCUCUUGAGCCUGACACAGACCUUGGUGCUCUACCGGGUGAAGUCCAUUCUCCAAUUGCACACGACCCUUAUGGCAAUCGGGUGAAGUCCAUUCUCCAAUUGCACAUGACCCUUAUGGCAAUCAAGAGUGGCUCGGUACUUUCCCAACCAAUCCAUACCUAAGAUCACUUCUUGAUUCUUUAGGUGGACACAGACCAGAUUCACAGGGUACACCUUUCCCUGGAUCUGUACUCGGAUAUUCGAAAUGAGACCUAGUGAGUUCAUGGCUUGCCCACCGGCCGCCCUCACUAUCCCAAAAUUAUCACCACCAUCCAGACAGAACAGACCCUUUCCGACCAGUCCCGGACUCACAAAACUAUGUGUAGCCCCUGUUUCGAAAAGCACGUGGGUUUUUACCCCACCGACCAUGAGGGUUCCAGAGAUCGAAUCAAAAGAUCCGGAAGCUCCGUCGUCUCGUGACAGGUCAUACACCCUCGGUGUUGUGGUUGGUUUGCCUUGGAAUGGCUUCAAUGUGUCUCCACGGCCCUCCCCUUGACUUCCUUGCAGCUUGGGGCACUCCGAUUGGAAAUGUCCUUGCAGGCCACAAUGGAAACAAGUCAUUGUGCCACUUCUACCAGACGGAUUCGGUCGAGGACAGUUUUGAACUCCAUGGUCCAUGCUGCCACAACGAACACAAGCCCCCUUGGCCUUCCAGCACUCACCGGGAUGGUUCCAUCCACAUUUGGAACACGCAGGUCGGCCACCAGAGGUCUUCCCUCCGUCCACCUGGUCCCAUUUUCUCUUUUUAUCAUUAGUCUUGCCCAAUGAGCCAGACUGUGGCUUAGCCUUAAGCUUAGCUUCUUCAGCCAAGUUAGACUCUAACAAAGCCAUCCAUUCCACCAGUUCUCCGACGGUGUUGAAAGUGCGGAUAGAGCAGUGGGUCUUCAGUUCCGGCCUUAGGCCUCGGAUGAACCUACGGACCUGGAUUGACUCGUCCUCCAGCUCUCUUCCAACGAACCGUCUAAGUCAGUUGAACUCCUCUUCGUACUCCCGUACGGUCCUGCGGCCUUGGACCAAAUCUAGAAACUUAUCUUCCAGACGAUCCCAACCCCAGCAGGAAAGUAUUUGCGGGUGAAUUCAACUUCAAAGUCCGCAAAACUUGUGAGACUUCCAUUGGUGCGCUUGUCCACUGCAACCCACCAUUUAUGUGCGUCCCUUUCCAGGAAGUGAACCGCAAUGUCUCGCCUGUAAUCUUCUGGACAGCGAGUUGAUUGAAAGUUUCGGACCAGCCUACUCCUCCACUCAUCUGCCACAACAGGUCGGUGCUACCUGAGAAUUGCUUCGUACCCAAUCUGGAUAGAUGCUGAAGCAAACUCAGAUAGUCAACCUUCUUUUCCGACCUUACCGGUGGAUCGAUCUUGAUCACCUCAACCGCGUCCCCAGCUCGACCCAUAGUAAUAGGUGUAGCCGUAGCUACAAGUGUAGCUUGACCAACUGAUGAAUUCACUAGUGGAAUGAACAGCUGAGUCAUAGCCGCCACUUGGUUACCCAUUACUUUCAUGGCCUCUAACAAGUCCUCUCGGGACAGUGCUGCAGGCACAUUGGCCGUUCCCUUGGACCUUUGCUCACGCUUGUCACCAUCAGGGUUAGCGUUCGAGGAUUCUACUUCCUCGUCACUUUCCUGAUGUUGCUGACCUUCUGGUUGCGUUCCCGUAAGAUUGGCCUGAUCAGUAGGCAACACAUCUCUGGUGUUAGUCGCGGCCGGAUCGGUUGGUAACCCGGACAGAUUAAUUCUGUCCCCGGCCGUUCUCUUACUCUUUCGGGUCUUUCCCGAUUUGCUUCUCCCAGCCUAAGGAUUCAGACAUUGUUAGUACAACGUAUACAUAACAUAACCGAGACCAUCAAACCUCACCGUGAGAUUGAAUCAGGUGGCUGCGUGUGUGUGGACUACAUAACCCAACUAUCCUAGAAUCAAGCAUGCUCUGAUACCAACUUGUAACGCCCGAAUCCGGCCUCUCGACGAAACUGGACCCAUUUGCUACUUAAUCAAUUUCUUUGCUUGUUUGAUUCAUUUUAAGUCUUUCCUUUACUAAGUCAUGUUCGAAUCUGAGGUUCUAAAACAAUUGAACAGAUAACACAUCAGAAUAUAAAUGUGUAUAAAAUGUAUUACUUAGAAACAUGAGAUCCAAUGCACAACUUCUUAAUCGUUUCAUUGACAAUCACUAGUUCAUCCCUAGCAUCAGUUAACCACACGUUACACAGCCUCUCACUGACCGAGCCUUCACGGCUCCUUGGCUUGACCAGAACCAUCCUUAGUUCCUGAAACCACAACCAGAUAAGCAUUAAUCAUAACCGAGAAUAGAACGGAUUGAUUCCACAAUGCUUGGCUUGGUUCCUAGAACUUAGAUAAACCUCAGUCAACAUAAUCAUAAACCGUAUGAACCUACCUACCGUAUCCUAAGUCAUUCAACCAACCACCCCUUGACUUAGAAUCAGAUAGAUAGUCCAGAAUAGAUAAACAGAACACACGAACAGAUCCGGAUCGUCCCCAAAGACCAAUCCGUCUAACCGGAUAGAAUCUAGGUGCGACCGGCCAAUGGAGUCCGGAGACCAAUCUGUCCAUCCGGAUAGAAUCGAGGUGCGACCGGCCUAGUUGAAGUCUGGCUGAAUGGCCCAACAGACUUCCUUACCUGAUCCAGCCUUGGGGCUGGAUCCAAUGGCCGAGUAAGCCUCAAGCCCAAUCCGGUUAGGCCAAACGGCCGAUCGGACCUUGCGACUCUUACCCUGACUUAGACGAACCGUGUACUUGUCCCAACAGACAAGACAUGGUCUGAUCUCUUAAGGAACGGACACGACCUGUCUCAACAGGCACCGUUUGGAACAUGCACCCCUCUUGGUCCUCGUACCUCUUAGUCCUCGAACCUCUUGGUCCUCGUACCUCUUGAUGUUCGUAACCCUUGGUUAUUUACAUCCUUUGGCAACUCACAACCUUUGGAACUCGUGACCUUUGGUAACUCACAACCCUUGGUAACUCGUGACCUUUGGCCACU
rnacentral:lncRNA from 1 species